UCAUUGGAUAUUGCAAAGACAUUGUGGUUUAUUUCUGGGAUGCAUCUAAACUUUUUCCGGAAGCAGCCGUGGAAGUUUUGCAGAAUAUGUCUUUAAUAAAAAUAGGAGAAGAUAAUAUAUUGUGGAUGCAUGAUCAACUCAGAAACCUUGGAAGAGAAAUAGUUCGUCAAGAAAGUGAGAUGAAUAUAGCGAAGCAACGUUGGGUGUGGAGUCCUGAGGAUGGAUUAAAUCUGCUAAGGAUACGUGAGGUAAAAUGUUUUGUGCAAUACAUCUCCAAGUUACUUAUAGACAUUUUCUUUUCCCAAAAAAAGUAGUUACUUUUUGUGUUCUCUAGCAUCAUCGCGACUUACUCAACCGAUAUUUUUGGUCUUUUAAGAUUUUAAAGGAAUGAUAGUAGUCAACUCAACCCCUUAAAAUAGUGAACUUGAAGAAAUGUGUUUCCUUUCAAUUUUUUUGUUUUAAAAUUUUUCCUUUGGGCAGGAAAAGAAAGAAGUUGAAGCUCUUUAUCUCAAGUUUGAUGAUCAGCACCGUUUUACCUAUGAGGACUUCAAGAGCCUAUCAAAUCUAAUGUUCCUUGAAGUAGACGACUUGAAGGAAAAUUUUCGUGGAGAAAAGAUGCUUCUUUGGCUCAAAUGGCUAUCAUAUGUUCUUCCAACUAAUAUUUUCCAGAGGAAUUCAAAUCUCCUUCCACGAUUACGAUGGCUUUCUUGGCAUAAUAUUCGCCCAACAUUUAAGAUUCAAAAUUUUUCCGUAGCGAAUUUGGUUAUCCUUGAUCUAUCUGGGAGUGAAAUCACUCAUGAUUGGAAGGGGUGGAGCCACAUGAAGGUAUGUUAUAUACUAGACAAUACUUAUUCUUCCUUCUUAUCAUAUUCAAAAGUAAACUUUGCAUGAUUUUUCUUUCACAGGUGAUUAAGAAUUUGAAAGUUCUGAAUCUGGCCAAUUGUCGACGCUUGAAGAGAACCCCUAACUUCUCAACUCAUUCAAAUUUAGAACGUUUGACCCUAUCAGGCUGUGACUCAUUAAUCAAAAUUGAUAGAUCGAUUUGUCAGUUGAAACACUUGGUUUUCUUAGAUGUAAACUUUUGUUCGAGUCUUCAAAGUUUGCCGGAUGAGUUGGGUAGAGAUCUUGCAAGCCUCAAAUACCUAUCUCUUCAUGGAUGCUCGAGUUUGAAGAGGCUUCCGGAGACAAUCGGGAAUUUGGAAUCGCUGAUUGAGUUGAACAUAGGUGGCUUUACAACGGCAAUCAAAGAACUACCCGAUUCCAUCAAAAAGUUGAAGAAUUUGAAAAUAGUAAAUAUGCAGUAUGGUGGCAUAGGCAAAAUACACAAUACCUUUUGGACGAUGGAGAAGCUUGAAAAAAUAAAAAUCAUCCAUGCGGAUUAUCUUUACGGGGGUUUACACAUGGAAAUUGGUGAUGGCAUCUAUGAGAAUAAAUCCUUAAGGAUCUUGAGAUUGUUAGGGGUGAGAAUACACGCCCUAUCAAGGCUUCCUGAAAGUCUUUUGGAAUUAGACCUGAGGUAUUUGCAGGUGGACACGUUUCCGGAUCUCUCAAAUCUUGCUAACUUAAAGGUAUUGGAUCUGUGGUUUAUUCGCCCACCUAAUUGUGAUGGGAAAUCUUAUGGGCUUCCAGAAGAACCGAUACCGCGGUGGAUUGGGAACUUAAGCAAAUUGGAAUCUCUGGAACUGCACUUUUUAGACGAGACCGCCUCAUCGACAGGAGACCUCAGCCUCCCUCCUCAUCCGUGUCGCCUCCCAAGGCUUCCCUCAAAUUUAUCCUCCUUACUUCUCUCUGGUUGCGACUCACUUUGCUUGAUGGAUCUAUCGAAUUUGAGGAAACUAUCGUCUCUCUUGAUUUGGAGCUCUGCAGUUGCAGAGAUUGAAGGCCUUGGUUGUUUGGAGAACCUACGAGAUUUGGACCUUCAGCACGUCAGGCAGCUGGCGAUGCUACCUGAUCUAAGCAAGUUAAACAAGCUAAGGCGUAUUCUAGUAUUCGAUUGUGGUAAUCUGGUUGAGAUUCAAGGCGAACUACCGCGGUUUUUGGAUAAUCUUUCAAUUGAUUACUGCAAUUCGUUACGGGAGUGCCCCGAUCUGUUCAGCUUACCCGAUAGGUUCAGUUUAAUGGGUAAGACACAUGUUUUUAUGCAUAUCAAUCUCAGUCAGAUGUUUUUAUAUGGAGGUAGAGAUGAGAUGCUGGUUCGUGGCUUUAAACAGAUGCAGAUCCCUGAUCUAAGCGAUUUGGACGGAAUAACAAUUCUUAUAGUAGAAUCUUGUCAUAAUCUGGUUGAGAUUCAAGGCGAACUACCCCAAUCUUUGGAAGAAUUGUGGAUUGAAUGUUGUGAAUCUUUACAGAAGUUGCCUGAUCUAUCAAGCUUGAAGGGACUGCGAAAGGUUACAAUAUUACGUUGUGGGAAAUUAGCGGUGGAGGAAAUUUCUCGGCUUUGCUCGGAGAAGUCAAUCAAAUUUCUGGGAGAAGACGAUGAAGAAGACAAUUUACCGGAUUGGGCAAGAAUAGAAAGAUAUGAAAGAAGACGAGGGGCAAGACAAAUUGCCAGAAUUCAUUCCCGUUGAGGUAAGUACCAAUGUUUUCCUUUUUGGGCAAUCAAAUUCUUUCACAGAUAUGAACAGAGAAUUUUGCAUGCACUUUUUAAUGACCUUUUAGCGGAUUCUUGUCUGAAAAUCUGAUGAAGGUAUUUAAAUUAUGAUGCCUCCGAACAGCCAAAGGGCUCUUAAUUAUGUACAAGUAUUUGUGUUCUUUUCCUAGUUUGGUUUGGCUUUUUUAGCUACAUUUUCUUAGGAUGGUUUCUCCUAGAGGUAUGCAUGUCGAUUGCAUCAUUUUUAUUUGAUAUGUAACAAAUUAUUGGAAAUCUUUGUUGAUUUGCUGCUUCACACAUAUUUUGAAAUUGAUAACCUCACUUCGCAUGGGAGAUAAAUUCGCUAUGCUGUAAACAAAUAGAUGGAAUGUGUGUUGGAAGGUCAUACAAAUUCUCAUCCUGGGACUUUACAGCACAAUCAACUCACUGUUGCGACUUUGACGUAGACAGACACUCUGUAUUGCCAUGCUUAAGUUCAGUUUAUUUUGCAGGAAAGGUGUGCUUCUUAGUGGGAUUUGCAAAUGUUAUGGAGAAGUCACAAAUGAGGGAGCCACCGCAAUUCUGAGAUUACUGGUGUGGUAGCACUGGCUAAAGCAGCAGCACCAUAAUAUUUAUCUCAGCAAUGAUGCCUUCAAUCAUAGCAAUCUUUGACGGGCACACUGACAAAAAUCAUUCUGUGCAGCAAACAUCGCCUACAGGAGUAAUUGAGAGAAUGCAGCAUUCGCUGUACCAGUAAAGAAGGAGCACCCUUUUGCUGAGACUUGAGAAUUGCACUCACUUACAAAAGAUUGGUAAGAAAAAGAGAACACCUUCCCUUGGGGCUGCCUUCAGUAUUAGAACUGUGCAUUCUGAAGCAAUAUUGGCAUUGUUUUUGUCAUGAGAUCCACUCAAUUCUAGUAAGACACUGGCACUGCCACCAAAGUUGGUAAUGCGUCAUAUGCUGCUCGCCACCUCAGAAGAACUUUCUUCAAGUAGUGGUGGCUCUUCCAUGUACUUGAAAACUUUCGUAGAACCUGGUGAUCAUAAAAGAAGAGCUUUGCACAAGCCAAGCAUCAAUUUGAGAAAAUCUUCCAAAUUCUUCCCAUGUACAAACUCCAAAAGGUUUCCAAUCCACCGUGCUACUUUUAGCUGAGAAAGCAACUUGGGAUCCAUAUCCUGAACCAAUGCCAGAGCCACGCGCAGCUCAACAUCAUUCACAUUUGCACAGGACAGAUCACCAAGUGAAAAUCUGAAGCUGUGGCUGACUGUCUUUAGGUGUGGAAUCUCAGAAAUUUUAGUCAAGUUGAACUUUAUGAGCAUCAGGGACAGCUUCUGCGCACACAUUGGUAUUGUGGUCCUCAUCCUCAAUCAAGGUUGGGUAAAGAGGGAGAAAUUGCACCAAGGACAUGGAUUUCAAGUUUGCCAGCUUAAGCUCUAACUCUGGAGUUUUGAUUAGGAAAAUGAACGUCGCAUCAAACGGAAUCUUGAGGCACAGAAGCCUGGCAUCACCAUCUUUGUUGCCCUUAUACAGAACAUCCAGACUCAGCAAAAUCCCACGGAUGAAUACGUUAGAGCUUUCAGCUCUGUGAUAGACUCAACGCCAGCAUUUUGAGCCGGCAAUGCAGGUUCUAGGAGCGGAUCAGUGUUGUGCUCUUGUUUUCUUUUUCAAUCUUGAACUGCUUUUGGAUCGUGUUUGUAAUUAGUGUGCUGAAUUAUGCUUCGUGUGAGUGUGAACCAUCUAAGUUUUGCCUGUCCAGUGUUUGGUGAUCAUGUGCAAUUUUGGUGUUUGACGAAAUGAGUUAUGUGCUUGAGUCUGCGUGUGCUAGAAUGUCACCUUCAAGAAGCACCUGAAGCUGAAGCUGAAGCGCAAGGUCUAUUGUGACGGUUUCCUCUCACCCUGCACCUCCACUGGCAAGGUACCUUCGCUUUCACUACUAAUCUCUGCUAGUGAUGUCCAGCUCAACCUGGUCUGCAAUUUAGUUACCUUUGAUUAGGCUUGGACAUGAUUCGGUUUGAUUGGCUAAUCUGUGUCAAAAUUGCUGGCUAUCGAUUUAUUACCGUUUUCCCCCAUAUUGAGGUUGCUCGAUCGAACUGAACAGCAGCAGCUUGAUGCUGCUUACGAUUUCAUUUUUUCUAUCAGCACGGAUUGUUCUGUUCUGUGCUUCUGGUUGUAAUACUUGCCGUGAUUGAGCUUGUUUUGAGUAGAUUAGUCCAUGCUGUGAUUGAUGGUCGGAUAAUGCCAUAUCAUGGCAGCGAGCAGCUGUUGGUAUGCAGGAUUUUGAAGAAUGAUGAAGUUAUUUGUUCCGGUCAGUCACUGAUUUCAAUGCUUAUUUGGUUGAUGUUGGAGAGCCUGGAGGAGGACAAAAGCCUCUAGAUGAUACUUAUAUUCACAGCCUGAUUAUUGUUUGGCAAUUGGAUUUAUAAGUUCCCUCUGCCGAGGGUAUUCCUUGCUUGUCUUCUUCAUAGUUGUUUUGUUGGUUCAAAUCAUCAGUAGGUGCAAUGUGAUGAAUGUGAAGUUCUUGGGUUUGGUUUGUUAAAAGUCCAAAUGGGUAUAUUUUACUUAUUAUUUGUCUUGGAAAAAAGAGCAUUGCUUGCAUACAAAUACGCAUAGACCCUCCUUUGUGAUGCUUUGCUAGUUGCUCGUGUGGGAAAUUAAAUAUUUGUUCUUUUGCUUGCUUCAAACAGCUACUUGGGUACAGUUCAUGUGUUGAUUGAUUUAGAAUCUAGAUGUAAACAUUUGCAGUUGGUCUACUGUUGCUUUUGCUCAAUGCAACUGAUCUUUUGAAACUCCAUUUUUUUCGUUAAAGUUUUUCCUUUUGUUAACCUUACUUUCAAUUGAUGCAGAGCUUUGGUUGAGUUUCUGGAUAUGAGGUUUGUCACAAAACUGAUUAGAGAACCCGCAACAAGUAGAAAGAGAGAAAGAAGGAAGAGAGAAGGAGGAGAAAGAGAACUAAAAGAAAGAAAGAGAGGGCUGUAGUUUUCUGUAGUCACAGAAACCCUACACCCAUUGUAUUUAUAUUGAAUAUAAAUUGUAUAUAGCAAUAAUAUCCUUAUGUAAGUAAAAAAGGAAAUAAAACUCUGAUAAUAAAGGAAACUUAAUAAAGUAACUUAACACUCCCCCUCAAGCUGGAGCAUAUAGGUCGCCUAUGCCCAGCUUGGAACAACCAGCAACAAAAAAACAAGAUGAAAUAAUGCUUUGGUAAACAUAUCAGCAAACUGAUCUCUAGAGGCAACGUAAGAAAGUAGCAACCAGCUUCUGCUUCACAUCAUAUGCUUAGUUCGCUCUUGAAAAACAUGAUUCCUAGCAAUAUAAAUAGCUGCUUGAUUAUCACACAUCAUAUCAAUAGGUUGAUUAAUCGAAAAUCCAAGCUCCUGGAGAAGAGAUUUCAACCACAACAAUUCGGCCACAGUAUGUGCCAUAGCACGAUAUUCAGCCUCUUAGUUUGUUUCUUCCUAUAGAUAGUAAAGCCCAAUCAGCAAUCGUAGUAGUAGUCGCAGUAGUAGUUGCAGCAACGAUUGCAGCAGCAGCAGUAGCAGCAAUAGUAGCAGCAACAGUAGUAGUAGUAGCAGCAGUAGCAGCAAUGGUAGUAGUGGUAGUAGUAGCAGUAGCAGAUGUAGCAGCAGCAACAGUGGUAGCAGUAGCAGCAAUAGUAGCAGCUACGGUAGUAGUGGUAGUAGCAGCAGUAGCAGAUGUAGCAGCAGCAACGGUGGUAGCAGUAGCAGCAAUAGUAGCAGCAACGGUAGUAGUGGUAGUAGCAGCAAUAGCAGCAGCAACAACGGUAGUAGUAGUAGCAGUAGCCGCAAUAGCAGCAGUAGUAGGAGCAACGGUAGUAAUAGGAGCAACAGAAGUAAUAAUAGCAGCAGUAGUGGCAGCAAUAGCCGCAAAAGGAGUCGUAGUAGUAUCAAACCACAGAAAUCUCCAUUCAAAUAAUUAUAUGCUUGAUGGAAACCAGCAAGACCAGUCAACCAUAAUCAAUAAAGUACUCCGAUUCUUGAAUCCGCUGAUUAGAAAGUGUUGUAAUCCAUGUUCACAAACCAAACCUGAUGAAUUUGAUAUCUUCCGAUCUCAUAUGUAUCAAAACUUGAAGAGAAAAUCGAUAAAAAUUACAGCUUUAGGUGGCUGUGCACCAACCCUAGGGGACUCUCAAACCAGCAAUAGGAUCAAGUAAUCAGGUAAUUAGACCUGCUCUGAUACCAUGUCACAAAACUGAUUAGAGAACCCGCAACAAGUAGAAAGAGAGAAAGAAGGAAGAGAGAAGGAGGAGAAAGAGAACUAAAAGAAAGAAAGAGAGGGCUGUAGUUUUCUGUAGUCACAGAAACCCUACACCCAUUGUAUUUAUAUUGAAUAUAAAUUGUAUAUAACAAUAAUAUCCUUAUGUAAGUAAAAAAGGAAAUAAAACUCUGAUAAUAAAGGAAACUUAAUAAAGUAACUUAACAAGGUUCAGUAUAAUCCCCUCAAUGAAUUACGAGGUGUGUUUUCCUUUUAGCUACUUAAAUCCUUUCGCAUGGAAUCUACAGUUGUAUUGCCUACAUAACUUUUCAUUUUCUGCAGAUGCUCCUAAUUCCUCAAAAACCGAAAAAGAAACACUGGUUAUUUUAGAAGAAACUGGUCGCUUAUGAUGUUGCAACCUGCCGGAAAUGGGAACCAAAUUGAUACCGUCCCUAUACCCUACAUAUAUAGAUUCUACAUCCCAAAUAGCACAGCUUGCUUUACAAUGCUUCCUAAUGACUUCUAACGAGCAGCCUUCGUGGACUAAAGUCAUGGAAGAACUGGAAUCAGUAGACACUGGCAUCGCUAAUAGAAUAGAAUGGGACAGUUAAAUUCACUCAUUAUGUCAUUCUUACUUCAUGUUUAUGUUAUUCUUACUUCAUGUGAUGUAAGUCAAAGUCUGUUGUUCCACACUUUUCCAUUUUUCCCAGGAAUAAUCCUGAGCUUUGAAUGUUCAUUUCUAUUGUACCCAGCAGUUACUAGGAGUUGUCUUCUCUUGUAAGUUCUUUGGAAUAUCCAUGACAUGUAUAUUAAUACAUGCACCGCUUUGUGAAUUGAGAUGUGAUUGUACUUAUGAUUAUGAGAGGAACAGUUCUUUAAGGCUAAUCCUCGAUCUUGUUGGCAAUCUGAGGUCCACAGAAGAAGUCCAUUACUCUUCAAGAGUCCGAGCUCUUUAAUUUCCUUGCAUGCUUGGGCUUUGAACAUGAGCAAAAGCUCAUUUUGGUUGCCAUCACGAAUGUGUUUAUGUGGUGCUUGCUCUGCAAUCAAUCUCCGGGAAGUGCUAGGCGGUUCAUUCCAUUCUCAUAGUAUUUUUGAGCUAUGAGACAUGGUUGGGGAAAUUGAUGGAGUCAUGUAAGGCAAAGUGCUGCUCAGUUGUCCAUUCAGAAAGAGCAAGAUAUGACUUUUGGUGCUGUCAUGUUGCAGCUAAGACAUGUCUGAUUGUUUUGUGCUAAUAAGAGACAUAUUUCUUAUCAUAUGCUAGUUUUAGAUAAGACUUUCCAUAUGACAUUAUAAAUGACUAAAUUUUAUUUUUAUAUUCUCAGUAACUUAGCCCAUUGGUUAUUGUACUUUCUUCACUGUUUGUAAAUCUGAGGGCCCUAUUAUUUUCGACACCUCUCAUGUAAUUUUUAUUUUUAUUUUUGAACUUGUUGAUAUAUCUCUUUUACAUCACUCUUAACGCAAAAAUAUAAAAGUUUCCAUCAUUUUUUUUUAAAAAUUUUAAACAAAUUAAAAAAAAAUUGAUUACACUAAAGAACUUUCCAAAUAUAUGUUUAUCAAAUAGUAUUUUCCCAAUGUUACUUCUCAAGUCAUUUUAAAUUGCAAAUUACCAAAUAGUCUUUGCAUUUCACAUAACUCCUUUAGGCUAAGGGCCUUUACAUUAGCCAAAGGCUUUCCCCAAAAGUCAAAGCAAACGCACCCAUAAAUGGGUACUUGAAAUUGAGCUUUAUGCAGACCUUUGUGCUUAAUUGUUGUUGCCCUGCUAUGUGACCCGCUGUUUCGUGUAAAUCAGCGAUAUAGCCGUCAUCGUCAUGGCUGAAGUGCUCUUGGAGAUCCGGCCUCAUGAAGUCAAGUUUAUCUGUGAGUGUAUAUAGUGAUGUGCGUUUGGUUCAUUUUUAUUUUGGAGAUACAUUCAAUUUGCGUUGCUUGCCUCCUGUUUUACUAGGCAAUUAGUGAAGGGGAUGAUAUUUCUUUGUUCUACAAUAAUUUGCUUGAGAAUUUGUGGUUCAACAUCGUAAAUAAUGGUAAAAGAAAUAUCUUAAAUAAGAGCUUCAAUGGCGAGUAUGAAUCGGUUAUUAGUCGCCCUGUUUUUCAAAUUCUUUUCCUUGUGUUGUUUUCAAAUUUUUGGCUAGGUUCUUUCUUUUUGCAUAGUUUCUAUCCUCGCACCACAAACUCUUAGAAUGCCUUGUGAGGUGAAUUUCUUUCCGGAGAUAAAGUAAGUGAGUGUUGUAACCAAAUGACUGAGAAUGAUCGGUAGAGAAAACCAACACGCAAAAUGAGAUUUCGUUGCUGCAUUAUGUCUUCAAAGAAAAUGUCUGAUGGUCCAUUUCAUCACAUCCUACUCUCAUGUCGUGCCCCGUUAAGUUCUUUUAUCUGAAGCCUCUUCUCCAUGUUUAUGCAGUUGAGUUGAGUAAACAAAGCUCAUGCUUGAUUCCUCUACGCAACAAGACUGAUUGGCAUGUUGCUUUCAAGGUGAGGAUUUUUUGCACCUUUUCAUUCACCAUGAUCAUGCUUUACUUUUUUUUCAGGUAUGGUGGGCGAACAAUUUUCUUUCAAUUAUGUAUUCUCUUGAUGUAGUUUAACUUUCAGAGGAGGACAUCAAUGCAUUAAAAGCUCUCUACUAUGGAGAAACAUUAUGAGCUUUAUACUGGAUAUCCAAAACAUUCCAGGUUAAGUCUACAUCUUUGAAGAAAUACUGUGCGCGACCAAAUGUAGGCAUCAUCAAGCCAAAUGGAGCAUCUGAUUCAAAAUUGUGCUGCUCAAGUCCAAGGAACAUCAUGUUCACAUACUUAUUAAAGCCACUGACAUACUUGUGAGGAGGGACACGCCUACAGUACCUAAAUCAGCUAAAUAAUUCUUUUGCAAUUUCUUUGCCAUGACAUGUCAAUUGGAUUUUAUUAUUGUUGGGUUACAAACUACUUAAGGUAGAGUCAGUCUAAUUGCAGCAAGGAUCAUCUUUGAAUAAGAUUUUGAAUGCCUACCAUAGUAGCCUAAUAUACAUUGAGACAAAGGAAACCACGAUAGGCCUCACAAGCUAUGUCCUGAUACUUCAAAAGAAUUGGAGUAGGCCUUUCAUCCUAUCUUCUGUUUGAUGUAGUUACCAUGUAAGCACGACAGGUAGCUCCAACUAUCCUGUAGUGCAAAGAUAAGUUUUUGAUACAGGUGAAGAGGACUACUGACAUGGUAGGUUUUGCUGCUAUUUGCUCCAUAAUCUUCCAGGUCAAGAAACUCGAGAAAUUUUCUUUUAAAUUUUCAAAUUGAUAAAGAAAGUGGUAAAUACAUAAAUGAGAGGAAGAUAAAAGCAGUUCUAACCAAUCCAGUGGAAUCACUAUCAAUGCUGCCAGAUUAUGGAGACCGGAAGCAAGAUUCAUCUUCCAGGACUACCAUCCCAAAGGAUAUCUCACCUGUUGGAGUCGAAAAUGUGUCACCUUUUCUCAAGGUAUUACUGCCAAAAAACAUCAAUAUGUCACUUUAUUGUCUUUCUGGAUUGAGAUGGCAUUGUAUCUAAUCAAUGUAUCGGGGCUUUGCCACAGCCUUGGCUAGGCUGUAUGUUUAUUUAUUUGUGAAUGGAAAUCAAGUUGCUGCACAUCAUCUAUAUAUUGAUCUACCUUUUUAGCAACUAAAUGCGAGUGUAUGGGAUAUCUUUUUUCUCAUAUUAACUGUACGUGAAUCCAUUUCUAUGUCUCAGGAAAGAUUGGAAAUCAUAGAAUAUGACUUCUGUUCUUACUCUUAUAUUCCAGAAGGAUUGUCUUUUGAUGCCAGGAUCCUGAAGAGUUGGACGUGUCAAGAGGUUUUAAGGAGUUAAAAUCAACACUCAACAAGGUGAUACAAAGUUGAAAGAGGUUAGUUUUCUUCCCUUGGUUGAUUUGAAUUCAGGUCUACUUUCACCAGUCAAAUCACUGGGAGGACGGUUUCCCUUCCACUACGCAAGCCACCCUUGAUUGCCCAUUUUAUACAGAUGAGGACAGGAGACAGAAGAGGGGAAGAAUUAUUAAAAGGAAGAAAAGAAAACUUAUAAAAGGCAUAGGUGUUGCGUUGGGAGAAUUGCAAAUUCAGUCAUAAAUUUAUUUGUACGAAUAAUCAAAUAAUGGAAAACAUGUUUGCUCUCUCAUAUUCUUGGUUCACUGCUACUACUAACACAUUGGUUCUUAUGAAUAUCUGGUGCUGCAUGUAUUGAAGAUUACAUUUUUGUUUACUGAGUAAAAUGGCACGAAAUUGUUAUUGCCAAGUCAGAGUCGACCCGACUAUCACCAGGGACUACUCGAGUUUGGUACUACUGCUGUUGCUACAGCUAUGUUAGUGUUGUGUCUUGGAGAGGUGGUUAGAGAUAAUUUAGGCUUGCUGACUUGGGGUCUUUCUUGUGAUUUCUCUCGGGUUGUCCGAGUCAUGGCAUAUCCCUUAGCUGAUAUUAUUGUGGUAUCUUUCGUUGUGAACUUGCACUGGAGUUUGAUUUUCUCAUUGUUGGGAUCCGUCGAAAGGAAGAUUCUGUCCUGUAAGAUACUUCCUCGAAGAUUAAGAUUUCACUGCCUUAAAUUAGUUUUUUUGUGUUACAAAACUCUUGAAAUAGUAUAUUUGCAUUAUAUUUACCUCCAAAUUAAUUUUUGUGUAACUAGCCUAACGUGACUCAUGAGAUUAUCUAUUCGGCCCUGUCCCUGAACCAUGGGAAGAAAAAUACAGGAAUUUUGGAGAAAAAGAUGGGAUUUUUUUGAGCGAAACAUGUUAGCCAAUCUACAUAAGUUACACUAGACCAAAAAAUUAGAGUCUCCGAGAAGUUAUCAAAUGCGCCAUCGUUGCGGUGCUAAUCGGAGAUUAUCUCUUCGGAUCGGGCUGCCCUCAGGGGGAGAAGAGGCCGAUUGGCGAUCUUAAGAUUCUGUUUUCAUUCUUGCAUACAAUGAAAUCACUGCUGAAGGAUGAAAGGUAACAAAACUCGGAUCAGAUUUUGCUUAACGGAAACAACAUAGCUAUUGUAAGAAACAACUUCUUCCUUCUGCUGGUAAUUAUAUUGCUAUAUGUUUGAGCCCUUGCCUUGAUAAGGGCAUGGUCUUGCCUAAAGUUUUGGUAAUCUAUCAACUAGUAAGCAAUUGCCUUAACCAAACAGAAACAAUCAGCCGCUCUGAGAGAUUCCUUCUGAUAAGACUCAAAAUGCUUAGACAAUGUAUUGAUGAAUCAUGACUGGUCUUGAAUUUGUGAUUAAAAUGUCAUCAUCGCCUAUUCUUUACAAUCUGGUCCUUUGUCUCAAUCAACCUUUUGUCCACCUCUUGAUAAAUAUAAAGCACAAGUGGUGUGGCAAUUAUGUUACCGAAAAGCUAGAAUUCUGCUUUCCAGUGCUUGAACCACUUAAGUGACGAUGCCUUGCUUUUGUCUUACUGCAGUUAGCUGGUGUCUCCCCUGAUCCAGAAUGAGUUGGGUUCAUCCUCUAACCCCAGUGGUUGAUUAUGUAGUUACUUUUAGUUGUUGGAAGCCCCAUCAGCAACAUCAUUUGAUUUUAUAACCCUCUUUUUAUGGGUUUAUGAAUCUGCAACCUUAGUCAAUUGAGCUCUUAUUUGAUUGAGACUUGAUUGAGCUCAUGUGUGAAUGUCUGAUGCAAUUAGCUCAACAGAUGGUGCAUGAUCAUAUCAUCCUAUUAUCCAAUAUCUAUGUUUUGCUCAACUAGAGGGUGUGACAGUUGUUGUCAUGCUUGGUGCAUAUUGUUCCUAGGUUUCAUCUUCCAGUGCAUUGUUAUUGAAGAACCUAUCUUGGCUUGUUUUAGUGUUCUACAGUUUUUGGCCGUUGACUGCAUAAUAAUAUCUGUAUUUGCACCCCCCCCCCCCCCCCCCCCCCCCCCCCCCUCUUCCUCCUCCUCCUCUCUCUCCCCCCAUAGAAUAUGGUAUCUUCUUGGUGGCCUGUUAUUUGACUACCCUCUCUGUUUUAUAGUACAUUCCACUUAUGUAUAUGUUGCUCUUUGCUUGAAAAAAUUCUACUUCAUUAUGCAGUAUGGUUCUGGUACCGAGACAUCAGACCGAAGAUGUGCACUGUACUGCAUACAGCUAGAUGAAUAAUGGACGUAUUUUGCUCCAAGAGAUUUCAAUUUUCCACCCAAGUAGCUGUAGUUGCUGCAUGUUGCGAAAAGAUCCAUGCCCAAAGCGAACUCACUUGUUUUGACCACGCCCGGUUUUUUGUCGUUCAUGCUUUCAAAGUGGUUGGCUAUUUGGGUGGAGUGCUGUUUCUUGUUUUUGCGGUAGUGACAUUCAUCGGAGUUUUCUAGAGGUUUUCAAUCUGCUGAAAGAGUGGGCUCCGAGCUCGUGAGGUGUGAUAUUGCUUGCGGACUUUGGUUAGAGCGACAAGAUCUAAAUAGGCUGGAAAUAAGGCGCUGAAGAUUCACCAUAGGCCUCUUCUUUAUCGCUUGUUUUCAUGUAUAUUCACAACUGCAAACGAGCUUUGACUUGAGGCAUGUGAAAUGAAGAGUAAAUGCUGAGAGAACCUUGUCUAGGCAUUGGUGCAAUUUUCUUAUUUGAAGCUUUAUUGGCCAUCGAAUCUCAUCAUCAUGAACAAGUUUGCAGUUUCAUUCCGAUUUUGAUUAGUUCGAACACAUGGUCCAAGAUUCUUAUAAAUGCUAUGUAACAGAAUUCUCCAAGUUGGAUCCAAAGUUACAUACAUAACAUGAUGUUUUUGUUCUGAGAUACUAAUACUAAAAGACAGCUUGUUCUGAGUAUGUCGAUACUUUCCGGUGACUAGUAUGGUUCUUUUUCAUUCUUUUACCCCUUUCACCGUAACGCAUGGUGCUACAACAAUCGAACCCUUCAAGAACAACGUAGGUUGGGCUGGGAAAGCAGUUAUAUCUCAGUAAUCGGAAGAUUAAUGUGGGACUAGUCAAACAGGGGAUCAUGAUUUUCCCUUAAUAUGACGGAUGCUUCCAAGGUGGUCAUUUAUUUAAUUUCAUUGUGGAGACCAAAUGGAAGAGGUAUUGAGUAUGUAGGGGAUGAGUAGAAGAAGAAUUAACCAAUUCAAUCAAGAGUGACUUCAGGCUAUAUGGUGUUUCCUUGAUUAGUUUCUUAUUCACAGAGUUAGUCUACACAAAAAAGCAGUUUGAUUUGACUUCAGGCUAUAAUUCUAAUUGCAAUUUGAUUGAGCAAAUAAAAUGCAUACAUUGCAGUCAAGCCUACACAAUUUAUUAUGACAUAUACUCCCGAAUCAAUGCCUCUGAUUGCCAAUUUGCAUUGCCAUUCUCCUAAAAAUCAUGCAAGGUCUACUAGGAAAGGAGCUCAUCGCUUCUCACAAAUUCUUUGGUCCUUUAAUUCUUCUUGGAAUUGCAUUCCUCAUGAAAUGGAAAUCCUAGAUUCAAUGUUAAGACGAAGUUUCAUCCAAAAUUGGAUUAUAAUAUUCCAAAUGAAUCAUAUUAGGCUAGUGAUACUUGCUGAAUAAUAUGUAAAAAUCACAAUGAUUAAGAAUGAAAAUCACUAGAUUUCAAUUUGGAGUAGUGAUUGAGAAAUUGAACUCUAACUCUUGGCCUCUAUUCCAACCUUCUCAAUUAAAGUAUGGCUAGUACGAAUUACUUUUCUUUUGGAUAAAUAUAGAGAAUCGCUUGUCAGUCAUGCAUCCAAAAGUGGUGUUGCGAGUAAGGUAUUGCGUUCGCUUUAAAUUAAUUUUUUAUGUUACAAAACUCCCAAAAUAGUAUAUCUGUGUGUUGCAUUUAUCCUUAGAUUAAUUUUCGUUUAACUAGCCUAACGGGAUUCAUGAGAUUGUCUCUUCGGCUGUCCCCGAACCAUGGGAAGAAAAAGACUGAAUUUUGGAGAAAGAGACAGGUUUUUAGAGCGAAACACACUCGCCAACCUACUUCAGACCCAAAAAAGAAAAAGCACACUUGCCGAUCUACGUAAGUUAAAAGAGGACCAAAAUAUUAGUAAAUUCCGAAAAGUUUUCAGAUGCGCCGGCGCCGUGGAGGUAGUCGGAGAUUAUCUCUUCGGAUAGGGCCCGUCGGCGGGCGACAAGACGCCGACGGGACGGCGGUGUGAGGUGGCGGGGCUCGGAGGCCUUCUUGAAGAGGCCCUUUGCGCCUCUUCGGGUAGGCCACGAUUCCCUCGGCCGAAGAGAUAAUCUCUGACUACUUCCGCGGCGGCGGCGGCGGCGACGGCGACGUGGUGCCGCCGAUGGGUGUGACUGGAUUGAGGUUGAGUGGGAUUCUUGCGCGACGAAGGAGGACGUGGAGUCCCUGAUCGGCGAAGUAUGACCCCGUUCGUGAAUUAGUACGCAAAGAAAUUGGAAAGAUCUGGGAAGAAUUCGUCUGCGAUGAUCGGUGCUGGUGAAGAUUCCGGAGCUGUGUUUGGUUGUAAUUCUGAAAUUUCGGCCGAUCAAGAGAUGGGUUCCGUUUUUGAGAGCUUCAAAGCUCGUUGCCAGGCUCUAUUCGUGGACUUGCGUUGGAGAUGGCGACGGCUUCUUGACUUCGCCGGAUAACUUGGCCAUCGGCGGUGGAAGCUCGGGAGAGGAGUCGACGCUCUGCGAUGAAGGCUAUGGAUAUAAUCCCGACCACUUUCUUACACUUGAAGAUUUGGAUGUUCUUCUGUGAUGUAAAUGUGAAAUGCAUGUGAUUGUUCUUAUUAAACUGCACCGUACAGAAUACAUGGAGUGGGUCGUGUUCAAAUUUAUCUCUUUUCGGAUGAGAAAAGCAUCAUUUAGUCAGUUGUUUCGUGGCUGAAGUUGGGGAUAGAGAGGAUUUAUGAUUUCAGUGGUAUUUCUCUUUUGCUAGAUUGUGAAAGAGACUAGCUUUUAUUUAGACUGUCUCAGUAUGGGGAUGAAUUGACUGUCAGGGGUGAUGAAUGGCGGUGCCAGUGAAUGCGAAGCUUUCCACUGUCUGUGGAGUACUAUUGCUCUUUAGAUCGGAUAGUUUAUGCAACUAAUUAUCUGUUCAUUGAUGACUUCUGUGGGGAAACCUCAGAAAAUAGUUUUAGAGAUGUGGUUUUUAAACUGAACUUACAACUGUGAUGCACGUCUUGAGGGAACAUCAGACAGUUUGUGCUUCAUAUCUUUCGGGUAGUAGGAAAAAGGUAAAAUUUCUGAAGGAACACAAUUAAAAGCAGUGAUUUGCAAGUCCUGUUAUAUGCAGUUCCUUUCGUAUCCUUCUCAAUGGACUUUGGUAUUGACAAAUAACUGGGAGAAUAUUGUUCGCUUGCCUUGCCUUUAUCAUAAUUAUCUAUACUCCUGUAAGCAUCUUAAUGACGAAGAUCAUCAUAUACUUUACCAUGCCAUCAGUUGCUCAUUACGCUUUUAAGGGGUCUGUCUUUCAAGGGAUCAACCCAGUUCCAUCAUCAAAGGCAUUGUAUUGGAAGGCAGAUUGCAGUGCCUGUAUGUUGCAGAUGAUAAAGUGACUGUAUUGGAGUCAAAGAAAUGGGCUUGGGAGAAUCUGCUAGAAGCUCAGGCUAUCAGAGAAGCUGUAAAUCCUUGGAGAAAUCAUGAUGCAGAAGCAAAAAAGAAUUCAUAGUGCCACCAUUGUUGAGUUUGUACCUGGUAUAAUUUCUUCUCAAACGCUCUCAUUCAACAAGGAGAGAACCUUUCUGUAAACCAUGCUCUUGAUGGAGAAGUUUGAUAACAUUCAAAACAAAUAGGUCUAGGUGGUGGAGCUAUUUUGCUUAACUCCUUUUAGUUAAUGUGUAAUCCAUGUAUUUAUGAGACAUUUUGGCAAUAGGUCUUAAUACCUCUGGCUAUUAGACUUGUGCAUUGUAAUUGAUGGGAUGAUCACACAUUAGUUUAUUGGAUUAUGUUUUAUUCCUUUUGCCCUUAUGAGUUGGCAAAGAGUACCUAAAAUUGGAUGACCAUAUGUACUGAUGCUGGAAGCUGUGACUGUAGACCCGUUAAACGGGUGGGUCGGGUCGGGUUUGGGUCGGGUCAUAAAUGGUCCGACCCAAAGCGACCCAUUUAACCCGUUUAUAACCCAUUUAUUGCAGUGCAAAUUUUUUGACCCAUACCUGACCCGACCUAUACCCAACCUAUACCCGACCCAUUUAACAAAACAUAAAAAAGCUUAUAUAUAUAUUAAAAUGGUAUUGCUAACAUGAUUUUAUGCAAUAUAAAUUUUAAAAAUAAUUAUUUAAAAAAUCGAAUUUUAAUUAUUUUUUAUUUUUAAAAAAAUUAUUUUUAAAUUAUUUUUUAUUUUUAAAAAAUUAAAUUUUUAAUUAUUUUUAAUUUUUAAUUUUCUUUUUUCUUUUUCUUCUUCCUCUUCUUUGGCCGGCCGCCGGCCACAACGACGGCCGGCGACCGGCCACAGGCGAGCUGGCUCGCCCGGCUCGCCGACGCCGGCGAGCCUCGAGCUCGCCCCUCGCCAGAUCUGGCGAGGCUCGGGCCUCAGCGGACGUCGGCGAGCUCGAGCCUCGCCGGACGUCGGCGAGGCCUUCGCCUCGCCAGAUCUGGCGAGCUCGAGGCUCGCCCCUCGCCAGAUCUGACGAGGCUCGAGCCUCGCCCGACGCCGACGAGUUCACGUCUCGCCAGAUCGGCGAGGCUCGAGCCUCGCCGGGCGUCGGCGAGGCCUCCGCCUGGCCAGAUCCGGCGAACUCGAGGUCGCCCGACGCCGGCGAGCUCGAGGCUCGCCUGGCCGGUCGCCGGCCAUCACCGUGCCGACGACCGGAGUUAGAAGAAAGAAAGAAAAAAAAAAAGGAAAGAAAAAAUAAUUAUAGUUUUGAUUUUUAUAAAAAACAAUUGUAAAAUUAAAGAGAAGAAAGAGAGAUAAUGAGGUUUUGAGUGAAAAAUGGGUUGAUAAAUGGGUCAUAAACGGAUCAGAGAGCUACCCGUUUAAAACCCAUAUAUCUUAGUGUUUACCCAUUAAAACUUAUUAUGGGUGCUUUAUAAGAUCAAGCUUGACCCAUUAAUGACCCAUUUAAUCAUAAAUGAGUCCAUAAAUGGGUUGUGCAACCCAUUUAACACAUCUACCAAAAGAGAAGCGGAAAAAGUCGAAAUGAAAAGAAUUGGCAGGAACGGGCGAAGGAGGAGCAAGAAAGAGAUGGAGGGUCCUCACACAGAAGCCGGUCUUGAUCAUGAACAACUCCAUGGAGCCUCCGACGAGGGCCGAGAAGACCGCGAUCUUCGCAUACCAAUCAAGAAACUUCACCGCCAUAUCGAAAGCUGCCGCUCAAGCUUUCCGCGGCAGCGGCUGGAAGACGGGAAAACGAAAGAAGGGUCGGUAAGAAAGAAAGAAGGAAUAGAUAACUUCACGUAGAGAGAGGAGAUCCAUCGAGGCCCAUCAUCGGCCAACGCAGCCCGACCAUUUCCCCUCUAAAGAAAGCUCCCUUAGCUGUUGGGGCAGGAAUUUGGGCCUUUGGCCACUUUUAGGGCAGCUCGUUGCAUCAAGAUGCAAUCUUUUCUUCUUCUUUUCUCGUUGCGUCAACGAGGGCCGAUGCCUUAUUACAGAGGGUCGAAGGUGAGCAUAAGAACUUCAUCCCGAGCGAAUCUGCUCCAUGUCGUGCUGUGGAUGGCUAGGAAUCAGACCUUCUGAGGGAGAAACCGAUACGGCAAGAGCUGGUCACGGCAUGCAUAAGCUCUUCUAGGAGUAUUUCCGCUCGGUGAUGAAAUUUGAUGCUCGAUCUGAUCUACAUUUAGGACGGAGAUUUGAGCUCGACGAUCCCGGAACUGCUAGAGUUUCGGCAAAUUUCAUUGAGCACUUCUCAGCAACUAGCAAGCAGAGUCCAUGUCUAUGUUGAAGGUGACAGCUCAUCUGUCAUUGAGCCUCUGAUCAAUCUGGAAACACCUCCUGGUUGGAAGUGGGAGAUUCUUGAACUUAGUAAAAUUGAGAAGAUUUUGGCAAGAUCAAGUGCUGGGGACUCAAUUCAACUCCAUAAUUAAUCUUAUCUCGUAAAAUCUUGCCCACCCAAUAUCCAACAGUCACACUUACCCUUUUUCGCUUAUCCCUUUUUGCGGUGAAAUAAAAUGACUGUACCUGAGGUCGUGUCAUUAAAGCACUGAAGAAGCAACCCUUUCGACCACAAAUCCAUAGAACGCUGAACAAGCACCCUAAGGGUCGCAACACCAGGGACUAGCCUAUUCCGAACGUGAAGGCGUCUAAAAUCAGUCCUGCAUGGCAUCUACUGAGCACAAAGAGGACUUCAACAUCGGUGCAAGUUCUGGGGACUGGCAUCUACUUUCUUGUCCCUGUCAGUAAGCUGCAUCCUAGAUUCAGAUCUCAUAUGAGACUGGUGGGAUUAUCCACCAAUGCAACUCAGGAAGGACAUAGCGGCAAUUCAACCGCCACUAUCAAGCUAAGCAUAUGCAAAUAUUAUUGGAUAUACUUCCAUUCUUUGAACCAUUUACUUUUCUUAUUAGAUAUUAUUGUUCAGGAUCUCGAUCAUGAUCAUAUCUAAUGGACGCUCAUGAGGUACCAUUCGCAGUGAAAUAAGCCCAAGGACUAAUAGCCUCAAAGCCCUCUUCCCAUUGCAGUCCUUGAACCCCUGGUACCACUUCUUUUUCCUCUCUAAACUCGAAUGAAAAAAGUGAAAAGAAACAGUGGUCCGCCAACAGAACCAUAAGUGAACACAAAACUUAUCAGCAAGCAUCAUAGAAGUAGGUUAUGCAUAUCAAUGGCCACAGCAAAUGCAAAUACGGAGGACAAUGUUGCUGCUUCGACAGGGUUGGGUUUCAUCUAGUUCAGAAAAGCUUUCCACCUUAUUGUGUGAGACCACAAGUCAACAUGCACUCCUUUUAUGGAAACUAAUCGCAUUGAAAUUGCAAUAUGCAAAUUGAAAAUUUAGGCUCAGACAAGUCAGGAUUUUUUAACUUAUUUUUCAGAUCAAUGACCGCAGACAGGGUCAGUCCAAGUGAAUCCAGGGGAUUCAGUCACACUAAUUUACCCAAAUAAUUUGGACUUUCACCUUGCACAUUGCAUAUACCAUUGAGAUAUUUCGCAUAAAAGGAUACAAUAGUAUACUUGGUAGUCUCUACGUUGUAAAUACAGCAUAAACAGAGGAGUUGCCGUAAAGAUUCAUCGGAGCCAUUAUUAACAUGAAUAGAAUCAAAUUGGAUAUGACAUUACACUACUGAGCAUUGAGGACCAUUCUGAAGGGUGUGAGGAGGCGAUUGUUAUCUGGCUCAUUGUUGUAACAUUCACAACAUUGGCAUAAGUUCCUGUUAAUAAAUCCAGCCUCAUCAUCGAAUUGAUUUGUCAUUGCAAUUAGGAACUUCUGACUAGGAGGCAGGCAAGAAUUGUAGAAGAACUACGUAUAGCUUACCUGCAUUUCCUUUUGUCUUUGAGCAUAACGCUGCAUGUUUACUCUUGGACUCCAGAUCAGCUAACAGCUCCGCCAGAUUCGUCAUCGUUCAAUUCACUUCUUCAUCUAGUCUUGUGAUUUUUCAGUCUACUUUAACAAGGACCAGGCCUUCACUCUCUCCUUUCCUCCCAUUACGCCAUUCAAAAUCUUAUGGCAGUUUUUUAAAAUUGCCCAAUGUCCUUUUUGAUAUGCAAAUUAUGAGUCUAAACAUUCACAGCCAGAUUUAUUGCAGGGGAGAAAGAAAUUAAGGGACUAAGUUUUUUGCAUAUGCUUCUGAAGCCGCGCCGGCACACUAUCUGGUUUUCGUGUUGGCAACGUCGCUUGAGAAUCGUGAUCAUUCUUCCACGUGGAUUACUGCUCGAACAAGUUCGCUUCCAUACAAACUUCUUGUGUUGACAUUCGAUCUUCAGUUAGUAUAUUCAAUGUUCAUAACUCAUAAUGCGUCAUGUCAUGUAUCUGAUCAUCUUGUUGGUUUGACAAGAUAUCAGAUUUUGGCUUGAUUGAGAUUAUGUCUUCCUGUAGUUUCUAAAGUACCCUCUAAAAUUAGAAAAAAAAAAAAAAAAGACUAAAUUCCACAGAUCAAGAAAGUGAAGGAAAGAAACAGAGAGAGCCAAUGUCAUUAAACCAGUGAACUGGAAAAAGAGAUAUUGAAUUCUGUACAAUGCAGUUUAACAAGAAAAACCACUUAUGUUCACAUUUGCAUCAAAGAAUGACAUCCAGAUCUUCAAGUGUAAGAAAGUGGUCGGGAUUAUAUCUAUAGACCUCGAGGUCGCAAUGCAUUGGCUCCUCUACCGAGCUUCCUCCACGGAUGGCUGAGUUUUCCCGCAAAGCCAAGAAACUGUCACGGUUACCGUCACCGAAACAGUCCUCCAAGAGACUACGAAUCUCGGCAGGACAAAAUCCACACCCCUCAAGGUCACAGUGCAUCGGCUCCUCUCCCAAGCUUCCUCCGCCGAUGCCUGGGUUCUUCGGAAAAGUGAAGAAAAUGUCAAGGUCACCAUCGCCGAUGCAGUCCUUGAACGGACUAAGAAAUUCAUCAGGAUUAAAUCCACACCCCUUGAGGUCGCAGAGCAUCGGCUCCUCUCCCGAGCUUCCACCCCCCAUGGCCGAGUUCUCCGGUAUAGUCGAGAAACUGUCAUGGUGACCGUCACCGACGCAAUCCCCGGACACACUAAGGAAGUUGUCCGGAUUACAUCCACGCCCCUCAAGAUGGGAGCAGGUUGGGGUGGAGCCCACUCCCAAACCCCCACCGCCGGCGGCCGACUUCUCCGGCGAUGUCAAGAAAAGGUCGCCAUCGCCCAAAUUUUCAGAAUCACAACCAAACCCGUCUCCAGAAUCGCCACCAGAACCGAUCACGACGGACGAACCCUUCUCCAGAUCUUCCAACUUCUCGCCCACAAGAUCACGAACGGCGUCGUACUUCGCGAUCAGGGACUCCACGUCCUCCUCCGUCGCGCAAGAAUCCCACUCCUUCUCAAUCCACUCCGCCCACUCGGUCAAACCCAUCGGCGGCUCGACGUGGUCGGCAAUUACGUCAUCUUCCACGAAGGGGUCGCUGAAGAAAGAAUAGGGCUUGCCGGCGGGGGAGAAGACAAUGACGGCGGCGCGAGCGCCGCAGAGGCGGCAGAGCUCGGAGGCCUUCUUGAAGAGGCCCUUGCGCCUCUUCGAGUAAGUCACGAGCCGCGCGGCCGGGUCGGCGAUCUUGGCGAUCUCCGUUCGCCGGCGCUUACCCAUUACCGAUGGAUUUCGCGAAAAUUCUUCGACGAAUUGCAGGAUUCUUGGGUUUCCGAAGAAGAGCUUUCGUGGGUUUUUCUGGGUUUCUUGUAGAGAGAGAGAGAGAGAAAUGAAGUUUGAAGUUGCAGAGGAGGCGGGCGGGGGAAAGGAGCCGAACGGGAAGAUCUACUUAUAUAGCCAUCGUGGGGCCCUUUCGAGAACUUUCUGAAUUCUGAUUUUCGGUCCUCUAGAUUUCUGUAGAUUUUCAAAUUGGCCCCACAAACAGUUUAUUUGUGUCGAUUAAGUACUCUUAAGUUUUCAUAAUUUGUGUAAUUGGUGGUUUGUCCAAUGGAUUCCUUUUACCAUUGACACGGUGCGGUAAUUAAUUGAAUUAGAUAAGUGAAGACGUCCCUUCAAAUUAUAAAAUUUAAUUUUUAAAUUAGAUAAGUAAUGACAUUGCAUUAAAUCAUGAAAUUUAAUUUAACAUGAGAUAAGGAAAAAAAUAAAGGAAAAAAGAAUAAAUCGAGAGGUUAAACGAGAGAAGCUCGUCGCCAUGAAGAUUUCAUUGAAGGUUUUUUAUUUAUUUAUAAAUUCCAUUUAAUAACAUUUAUUCUAUGAUAUUUUUUUUCUUUUUACUAUCGUCAAAUACUUGAAAACAGAAAAAACUUUGUAUAAAAAAUAUGAAGAAGCUAUACUGUAAGUAAUUCAUUAAGUUGCAACAUUUGAUUAAAGGAAUAUUUUUUUUUUAAGAGAAAGGACACCUUAAUUGAAAAUAUAAUACCCGAUUAGAAUAUUUGCUCAAAUGUAUAGACUAUAACAACGCGUAAUACUAUAUUUUUCCUCCUCCCAUGGAUCAAUAUGCUAUGUUAGGCAUCAUCAUGAAGUAAACAAAGUAGAUAAAAGUUAAACCACCUAAAUAUCUAAAUAUCAGGUAAUAACAACCUCAUCUGACUAGAGUAAAAAAGAAUUAUAUUAUACACUCCCAUUACAAUCCAACAAAAAAAAUUGACACCAAAUAGUUACGUGUAUAGGUUAAGUGAUAUAUUUUCCUCUAACUAGUUAUAAAUUGUGGACAUCACUCACAUGCAAAGUAAACAAAAUAUUAAUAGAAGUGAUGUCUAUGGUUGUAACCCAUCAAUCAACUUACAUAAUUCACCAGCAUUUAACUUUUUCUACAUAAUACAAAAGCACAAGGACAGUAUUAAGACCAAUGAUAAAAUCUGAAUUCAAUUCUAUGUUUUAGACCUAGUAGGAUUUUGGCACAAAUAUGAAUAGUAUAAAUUUUAGAUAUAUCCAUGAACUUAAUAAAUCUCAGUUGCUAGAUUUUCGAACCUCACAUGGAAUCCACAUGAUCAAGGCAAUUGCAAACUCCACCCUACACACUCUCUUGCAAUCAAGCAUUUGAUUUUCACAAAGAAGGGCAACAAAUGUUUACACGUGUGUUGUGUGUGUUAAAGUUCUACAAUAGAUUUUUUUUUUUAUCGAUUUUACUAUAUUCUUAUUCUAACACUUAUUCUUAAACUUUUGCCUUUGUUUUGUGUAAAGCGUUUGAGUUGAAAUCUACAUCUAAAAUUAAAUCAUUGUCACCCCCAUUUGCCUCUAAGAAAGUAAGGAUUCGAACUUAUCAUAGUCUCGGUGGUUCUAAGAUAAAUGUUUGACCAGGUGAGUUUUUGGCAAAAUUUCGGUCCAUCAACGAAGAAGAUGGGCUUGCAGGAGAAAAACAGGCACAAUUACCGUACGGGUUCAAUCCGCAGGGAGUGCAAUAAAGGGCGCGUUUGAUAACGUUUCUGUUCAAAAAUUGUUCCAGGGAACAGAAAUAGAAAAAACCAUUUAUGUUCCGGGGAACAAUUUUUGACCAGAAAAACGCGUUUGGUAAACUUGUUUCGGGAAUAAAAAAUGAAAAGAAACACGUUUGGUAAAUUUAUAUUCUUUUUUUGUUUCUUUUAAUUUUUUAAUAUUUUUAUUUUAUUUUUCCUUUUUUCCUUUCUUUUUUCUUUUUUCUUUUUUCUUUUUUUCUUCUUUUGGCUGGUCGUUGGCCUUCGGCGACCGGCCGACGGGGGCCGGUAGCCUCGCCCAAAUCUGGCGAGGCCGAGUGUUGCCGACCCUCGACGGCCGGUUGCCGGCCAUGGUCGAGGCCGGUGACCGGCCAGAGAAAAAAGAAGAAGAAAAGAAGAAGAAAAAAAAAAGAGAAGAAAAGAAAGAGAGAUAAUUGUUCUUGAAGAAGUGUUUCUGGAACAAAAAAGUAACUUUUUUUUGUUUUUUUUUUUUUCGUUUCAAUUUUGUUUCGAGAACAAAAAAACAGUUUUUGAAAAAAACGCAAACAAACAUAUAUAUAUAUAUAUAUAUUUAUUUCCGGAAAAAGAAAACAAAAAAAGAACAAAAAAAAAAAAGAACAUUACCACACAGGGCCAAACUUUCCAAAUCAAAGUGCGAAAAACUCCACAGAAUUCGCAGCACGACCCAAUAUAAUAACCUCAUAAAUUUUCGGAAUGCGAUGGACUUUCCAACCCGAACCGACAUCCACGUCAGGUCACCGAGAGUCCAAGGGACGCGUGCACGUGGCGCGUUUGGCAAGGGUUAGCUUCGUCUCGUUGCAGUCCAGUUGCAGGGGUAAAAAACGCCCUUUAUUUUUUUCUCCAUGGUGCUGAUGCGACAUGAUAUGAUGAGAUGAGAUGAGAUGAGAUGAGAAUGAGGGGUGGGGCGCUUUUAUCAUCCGCGACGACCCAGGACCUUUCACCCCCACGCGACCCAUCGCGCACUCUUUCCUGGCAAUUACGACUAAGACCCGCAUCGUCUGCGCUUCAACGGGUGCUGGGAAAAAACAAUCCGCCGGCGGGAUGCGCCGCCCUUUUCGCGAUGACGAUCGUCAGGUGGUCUUUCGCCGGCCGACCUCGGCAUCGACCGUGCUCGGUAUGGGGCUGCCCGGCCUCUCAGUAACGACCAUUUCUUUUUUUUUGUUGUCGAAAAACCGGCCCGUCGGGCAUCGCCGGAGGACGGCAACUCGACCGGAGAAAAAAAGGGGAAGACGCGAUUGCGGCAUGGGGACCCUCGGACAAACUUCUCUCGUAUUCUCAUCCACCUCGCCGGACAAGAGCCGUCUCUCCCUCACUCAUCUCGCCUCGCUGCUCUCUUUGACUCUCGCUCUCUCGGUCGCCUCCGGCCUCGUCGAUCGCUCUCAACUCUCACGCCUCUCUCUCUCUCUCUCUCUCUCGCUCGCAGCUCGAUCUCGCAGUCUGCAAUUGUAAGUCCUCCCCUGAAAAUCGUCCAUUUGGUCGAUUUCGAUUUGGCGCUUUCACCUUGUUGGGUAGGAACUUCCUCGAAAGUUAAAGCUCACUCGGUGUUACAUUCUAGCCGCCGGAGUGGAAUUGCCUCUCUGGGUUCAUCUCGCUUUGUAAUUACCCGAGUCGGAUCGACGAAAGAUUUCGCAGUAAAGCCGUAGUUUUAGGGCAGGUUCCUUUAUGAGCAAGCUGCGACGGUGCGUGCGGGGAAAAAAAGGCAAUGAUGAGUGGCCUCGGAUCUUUAUAUAACCCGUGUUUUGCUGUCGCUUGCUGUGUGCUUGAUGCUCCUAUGUUGAUUGUCUGCUGAAUUUGUGUGGGUUGCUGGGCUUGAGGAUAAGUAACCGAGUGAAUGGUUUAUGUGACUAGUUGUCUGCUGAGUUCUAUGAGUUCUUGAGCGUAACUACAUGUUUUUAUUGUAAAUCGUUGGUUUUGUUGGGGACAUUUACACCGGUUCCAUGGACCCACCCAUGAGCAGCGCCGGACCGGUUCCCAUUUUGUGGAAACCGGCCCUCAGUGGGCUUUUCCGGGUUCUAGGGUGGGGACCGUCCAUCCUGAAACCGAUCAUACCUUCCAGCAUUUCCGUCUUAGGUGACAAUAUCCAGCGUAAUUUUUCUUUCUUUGAUUUCUUCUGCUUUUUGCUGCUAUCCAUCGUCGAUUUCUGUGCAUGCUGUUGUGUCUGCCUGUGAAAGCUUUCGUCUUUUCUUUCUUUAGGAAGAUAUCUUUGUAUGCUGCAUUUUCUGGGCUAUCCGAGAAUUUCUGUGCGUGGACUUAUAGAGGUGUGCUGUUGUGACUUUCAUUUGGUUAUUUUCUAGUUGUGAAAAAUGGGUAGUGUGUAGGUCGAGUGGUGACUUGACCUUAUUCAAAAGCAGAGAGUCACGUUGAAUUCAAAAUUUCAAAGAGUAACUCACUCUUUUUUAAUCUGCUUUCAACAGCCGUUUCCCAAAGACAGAGAGGUCUCUCUCUACUUUGAGUUGCAUUGCUUGCGAGCAGAAGAGUGUCCUCACUUUCCUCCAUGGCCAACAAUCCUUCACAGCUCCUCCCGUCAGGUCUGUAGGAUGUUUUAAUUCAUGUCUGUUUUUUCCUUAAUUUUCCAAGAUUCGCAGAAAUAUCUGGGGUGGGUGGGGCAUUUCCACUUAUGUUCAUCUUGCACUAAUGAAAUAUGCAGAGUUGAUUGACCGUUGUAUAGGUUCAAAAAUCUGGGUUAUAAUGAAGGGAGACAAGGAGCUUGUCGGUACUCUUAGGGGCUUCGAUGUGUACGUCAACAUGGUCCUCGAGGAUGUCACUGAGUAGUAUGUAUCUCUCUCUCUCUCUCAAAUUUACUUGUGCUUCAAGAUGCUUCUCGCAUUACUUCAGGUGAAGGGAAGCGAUUAUAUGUUCUUGACAUCAAUUUAUUAUCUGAACGGGCAAAUGACCUCAAUUUGUAUGCAUUAGCAUCAGAAGUUAUCAAAUCCGUGGUUUAUGAGGCCUCUCUGUCCUUAACUUGAUCUUAUGCUUCUAACUGAGAAUCGCUACUUGCACAAGCACACGCAAUAUGGCCUUGCCCAACAUCCAACCCAUCCCCCCUUUUUCUUUUCUCUCACUCCACUUUUUAUUGAGCUUGUAGAUGUAAACUGUGGAAGCUUCAUGUGAUUGUAAGAUUCUGUUUUCAUUCCUGCAUACAGUGAAAUAACUUCUGAAGGACGAAGGAUAACAAAGCUCGAUCAGAUUUUGCUUAACGGAAACAACAUAGCUAUCGUCGGAGACAACUUCUUCCUUCUGCUGAUAUAGAUAUGGCUAUCUGUUUUGAGCCGUUGCAUCGAUAAGGAUGUGGUCUUGCCUAAAGUUUUGGUUAUCUACUAACCAGUAAGCAACAAUCGCCUUAACAUAACAGAAACAAUCAGCCACUCAGAGAGAUUCCUUCCAAUAUGUAGACUGAAAAUGCUUAGACGAUAUAUUGAUGAAUUUUUAUUGGUCUUGAUUUUGUGGUAAAAGAGUCAUCAUUCCCUAUUCUUUACAAGAAUCUGGUCCUUUGUCUCAAUCAAACUUGUGUCCACCUCUUGAUAAAUAUAAAGCGUCAGUUGUGUGGCAGUUAUGUUAUUUUUUUUUUUUUUGGUCGAAAGGCAGUUAUGUUAUUGAAAAGCUAGAAUUCUGCUUUGAAGUGCUUGAACCACUCAAGUGAUGAUGCCUUCCUUUUUUUCUUAAUGCAGUUAGUCCCUGGUGGCUCCCCUGAUCUGGAAUGAGUUGGAUUCAUCCUCUAACCUCAGCAGUAGAUUAUGUAGUUACUUUAGUUGUUGGAAAUCCCAUCAGCAACAUCAUUUGAUUUUAUAACCCUCUUUUUUUGGGUUUAUGAAUCUGCAACCUUAGUUAAAUGAGCUCUAAUUAAAUUGAGCUCAUGUAUGAAUGUCUGAUGCAAAUAGCUCAAUGGAUGGUGCAUGAUCACAUCACCUUAUUAUCCAAUAUCUAUGUUUUGCUCAACUAGAGGGCAUGGCAGUUGUUGUUUUGCUUGGUGCAAGUUGUUCCUAGGAUUCAUCUUCUGGUACAUUGUCAUUGAAGAAAUUGUCUUGGCUUGUUUUAGUGUUCUGCAGCUUUUGGUCGUUGACUGCAUAACAACAUCUGUAUUUGCCCCCCCCCCCCCUCUUCUCUCUCUCUCUCUCUGUGAAAACGCAUGCACUUCUUUGAGCGUUAGGGAUGUGGAUCCGCUUUCCUGCACCAUACUCCCAUGUGUGUCUCAACAUAUGUCGGCUUUUGAUGCUUACUUCAUUCACAUGUGUCAACGGUUGAGAAGCGUUUUAAGGGUUACAGCAUGAACGGGAGCCCUAUGGUUGUUGAGUAUCUUCAUCCAAAAUAUGCUAUCUUCUAGGUGGCCUGCAAUUUGACUACCCUUUCUGUGUGAUGGUACAUUGUCAAUCUAAAUGCAGAAGUUCGAUACCGGAAUCAUACUGCAUAAUGAAGUAGAUAUUUUCAAGCAAAAAGCAACAAGUACAUAAGCAGAAUUCUAUGAUCUUUUCCAAAGUGGAUACUGGGAACACAUCAGGCCUAAGAUGUGCACUGUACUGCCUACAGCUAGAUAAAUAAUGGGCAUAUUUUGCUCCAAGUGAUCUCAAUUUUCCACCCAAGUAGCUGUAGUUGCUGCACGUCACGAAAAGAUCCAAGCUCAAAGCAAACUCAUUUGAUUUGACUAUAACUGAUUUUUGUCAUUUGUGUUUUCAAAGAGGUUGGCUAUUUGGGUGGAGCCUGUUUCUUGUUAUUGCGGUAGCAGUUCAGAGCUCACGAGGUGUGAUAUUGCUUGCGGAGUUUGGUUAGAGUGACAAGAUCAAUAGGCUGGAAAUAAAGGUGCUGAAGAUUCACCAUAGGCCUCGUCUUCUUUUUCGCUUGUUUUAAUGUAUAUUCACUGCUCCAAACGAGCUUGACUUGAAGCAUGUAAAAUUAGGGAUAUUUGCGGAGAACUUUGUCUAGGCAUGCAUGCAUUUUUCUUAUUGGAAGCUUUAUGAGCCAUUGAAUCUCAUUAUCAUGAACAAGGUUGCAGUUCCAUUCCGAUUUUGAUUACUUCAAACGCAUGGUCCAUGCGUCAUUGAUUCUCAAUGAAUGCCGUGUGUUAGAAUUCUCCAAAGUUGUAUCUAACGUCAAAUACCUAACAUGAUAUUUUGUUCUAAGACACUAACGAUAAAAGACAGCUCGUUCUGAGUAUCUAGAUAUGUUCUGAGUAUCUAGAUAUUUUCUCGUGACGGGUACGGUUCUUUUUCAUUCUUUCACUCAUUUCGACAUAACAUAUGGUGCUUUGGUUUGGGAAAGCAAAUGUAACUCAGUAAUAGGAAGAUUAAUCUGUGAUUAGUCAUAAGAGGGGAUCAUGAUUGUUCCUGGAUAUGAUAGAAACUCCCGGAGUGGUCAUUUAGUUAAUUUCAUUGUGGAAACCAAAUAGAAGAAGAAUUAAGUAUGCAGGGGAUGAGUGGAAGAAGAAUUAACCAAUUCAAUUAGGAGUGAUCUUAGUUAUAUGGUGUUUCCUUGACUAGUUCUUACUCAUAGAGUUAGUCUACACAAAAAGCAGUUUGAUUUGGCUUUAGGCUAUUAUUCUAGUUGCAAUUUGAUUUGGCAAAUAAAAUGCAUACAUUGCAAUCAAUCCUACAGAAUUUAUCAUGACAUAUCCUCCUGGAUCAAUGCCUCUGCCUGCCAAUUUGCAUUGCCGUUCUCCUAAAAAUCAUGAAAGGCCUGCAAUAGGAAGUUCCAUCCAAAAUUGCAUAGGUCCUUUAAUUCAUCCUGAAAUUGCAUUCCUCUUGAAAUGGAAAUCCUAGAUUCAAUGUUAAGACAAAGUUCCAUCCAAAAUUGGAUAGUGAUAUUCCAAAUGAAUCACAUUAGGCUAGUGAUACUUGCUGAACAAUUUGUAAAAAUCACAUUGAUUAAGAGUGAAAAUCACUAGAUUUCAAUUUGUAGUGAUCGAGAAAUCAAUCUCUAACUCUUAGCCUCUAUUCUGGCCUUCUUAAUAAAAGUAUGGCUAGUAUGAAUGUCGAGAUUUGAUUUUAUCAUUUUAUUUCUCUUUCGGGCUAAUUUAGAUAAUCGCUUGAUGAUCAUGCAUUAAAAAAUGAUGUCGCGAGUCCGAUUUCAAUGGGAUCCUGUUCCUGACCUUGUUUUCCAGGUGGGUCGGUCCGGUUCCUAAAUAUACCCGAUCCGGUUGCACACUCCUAGUUAAUAUUUUCUAAUUUAACUAAAUGGAAAGUACGGAAGUGUUGUAUACAUGUGGUUUUUGCAUUGCACCAAAAUAGAAUCAUUAGAUUAGGAAUUGCAUGAGAUUGGUCAAUGUGAUAUUUAUGGACGCCAGCAAUCUAAAGCCUAUGAUCCCUGUGCCUCGUUUUAUCAUGACAUUAACAUUAGCUACCACUCUUAGAAAGACAGAAAAAAAAAAAAAGACAGUUACAGCGUAUGGGCGGUGCAAGAGGCCUGAAACAUCACGGGAUUAGAAGGGCGAAGUCAGUCCACGAAGACUUGGACUGACAAUAGUCCAUGAUGAGCCAGCAUUGCUCCAAGAAGGAAUCAAACCAAAGAUUGACCCAAGUAUAAGGCACACGCUAAAGCAUUGACGGGUCUUCUUUUCCACGCUAGGAUCCGUCUUCUUUUUCUUUGCUAUAUUGCUUUUCUUUUCAUUAUCAAUUUGCUUUUUUGAUAAGAUUUUCCUUGGAUCCUCAGGGACGUUUGAGGUCUCUAGUCAGUUAAUUAUUUUGAUAGUUGAUUGAUUGGUGGCCACCGCUUGAUCAAGGAUUUUUUUUUUUUUUUUUUUUGGCCUAGCAGCACUUGAGAAGUAGGGCCUCUGAACUUUUUUCCAUGUCUGAAUUGUCUCCCAAAGAAAAGAUCAAGUGAUAUCAACGAAGGGGAGGCAAUGCUUGUUUUAUUCAUCAUUGUUCUAGCUUGUGAAAAGCUUAUGAUAUCGUACAUAUCAACGUUUUAUGAGUGACUUUUAUUGGUUAAAAAACGGUCGAUAAUGCAACUUACCUUAGUUAUUGUUGAGUUAGUAUUGUGAAUCUUCAGUUGUGAAGUAGCUAUUUUUUAUCAUAAAACAUAAAAAUUUUAGUUAUCAAGCGAAAUGUGGUAUACAUAUAGUUUUGCCUUGCAUUGAAAUCAAAUCAUUACAUUAAAAAUCGCAUUAUCUACCACUCUCCAAAGAAAAUAAAUAAAUAAAAGAAUAGCGUACCGGUAAGGGCAAAGUCAAAGUCUACGAAGACUUGGACUACCAACAGUCCAUGAUGAACCAGCUUUGCUCAGGAAGGAAUCACAUCAAUGAUUCAUUCAUUUGGUACUUUGUCCCUCACAUACGGGCAUUCAUGAACGUGGAGAUUCUAUCAAAAAGAAGGGAAAAAAAUGUCACUAGAUCACUUUGUCAAAUCCAACACCGACUCAUUGUUCUCCCAUUCACCCGCAAAAUUUACAUGGCAAUAAAUCGAUUUCCAAUUCUCAUAUUCAUUGAUAAUUUCAUUACACGAUUUCCUCCGAUUCUAUAAUUUCAUAUGAGAUUUGAAAAUCAAAUAAGAACAACCUCUAAGGAUGUCUUUAUGUCACUGAGAUUUUUUUUUUUUUUUGUGUGACCGGAAAAUGCUUUUAGCAAAUUCAAUUUCAGAGAAAGGGAAUCGGAAAAUUUUGAUUAUGGUGAAAACAAGUUGAAAAAGACUGAUUUUAUUGUAAUUGGUAAUAAGUGAAUCCACUAAAUGUAACUUGUAUCAUUAAAAGUAACAUGGAAUGACUAAUAAACUAGAAUUGAUAUCUUCUUCAUUUAUUCUAUAAUCCAUCAAAAUAACAUUGAUUACAAAGAAAAUAAGAUUGAAAUUAUGAAAUCAUAUUUGUAAAAUAUUAGAUAUAAUCGUGCUUUGGGAAUGUAGAAAAAUUGAGCAUCAAUAAAGUAUAGUCUUCUCACUUCAAAGCUUAGCAAGAAAACAAGGGUAAUGAUUCCUUCUUGCCAAGUCAUUUUUCUCUAGGCUUAUUGUUUUUAGGAUUAAUACCGCGAAGAAUCUCAAACUAGUAUAUCCGUGAUAAAUUUAUUCAAAAUUAAUUUUUUGAUCACCAAAAACUCAAAACUGGCAAAUUUGUGAUAAAUUUAUUCUCCAUUAAUUUCCGUUAAAUUGAAUAAAUAAUAAGAACAAACACAAACCGGUACACAUGUGAUAAAUAAAAAAUAAAACCCCAAACUAAUAGAGUGGUCAAUUGUAAAAAUUUGAUGUGGCUGUAUGUUUUGAGGCCUCUCUGCCCUCAACUUGAUCUAUGCUUCUAACUGAGAAAUGCUACUUGCACAAGCACACGCAAUAUGGCCUUGCCCAACAUCCAACCCACCCCACCCCACCCCCUCCCCCUUUUUCUUUUCUCUCACUCCACCUUUUAUAUAGGUUGUAGAUGUAAACUGUGGAAGCUUCAUGUGAUUGUAAGUUUCUGUUUUCAUUCUUGCAUACAGUGAAAUCACUUCUGAAGGACGAAGGAUAACAAAGCUCGAUCAGAUUUUGCUUAACGGAAACAACAUAGCUAUCGUAAGAAACAACUUCUUCCUUCUGCUGAUAUUGAUGUGGCUAUAUGUUUUGAGCCCUUGCAUCGAUAAGGAUGUGGUCUUGCCUAAAGUUUUGGUGAUCUACUAACUAGUAAGCAAUCGCCUUAACAUAACAGAAACAAUCAGCCACUCAGAGAGAUUCCUUCCAAUAUGUAGACUGAAAAUGCUUUGACGAUAUACUGAUGAAUUUUUAUUGGUCUUGAUUUUGUGGUAAAAGAGUCAUCAUUCCCUAUUCUUUACAAGAAUCUGGUCUUUUGUCUCAAUCAACCUUGUGUCCACCUCUUGAUAAAUAUAAAGCGUCAGUUGUGUGGCAGUUAUGUUAUUGAAAAGCUAGAAUUCUGCUUUGAAGUGCUUGAACCACUCAAGUGAUGAUGCCUUCCUUUUUUUCUUAAUGCAGUUAGUCCCUGGUGGCUCCCCUGAUCUGGAAUGAGUUGGAUUCAUCCUCUAACCUCAGCAGUAGAUUAUGUAGUUACUUUAGUUGUUGGAAAUCCCAUCAGCAACAUCAUUUGAUUUUAUAACCCUCUUUUUUUGGGUUUAUGAAUCUGCAACCUUAGUUAAAUGAGCUCUAAUUAAAUUGAGCUCAUGUAUGAAUGUCUGAUGCAAAUAGCUCAACGGAUGGUGCAUGAUCACAUCACCUUAUUAUCCAAUAUCUAUGUUUUGCUCAACUAGAGGGCAUGUCAGUUGUUGUUUUGCUUGGUGCAAGUUGUUCCUAGGAUUCAUCUUCAGGUACAUUGUCAUUGAAGAACCUGUCUUGGCUUGUUUUAGUGUUCUGCAGCUUUUGGUCGUUGACUGCAUAACGACGUCUGUAUUCCUCCCCCCCCUCGCCCCUCUCUCUCUCUCUCUCUGUCUGUGAAAACACAUCCCUCUCUCUCUCUCUCUCUCUGUGUGAAAACACAUGCACUUUGAGCGUUAGGGAUGUGGAUCCUCUUUCCUGCACCAUACUCACAUGUGUGUCUCAACAUAUGUCAGCUUUUGAUGCUUACCUCAUCCGCACGCGUCAACAGUUGGGAAGCGUUUUAAGGGUUAUACAGCACGAACGGGAGCCCUAUGGUUGUUGAGUAUCUUCAUCCAAAAUAUGCUAUCUUCUAGGUGGCCUGCUAUUUGGCUACCCUUUCUGUGUGAUGGUACAUUGUCAAUCUAAAUGCAGAAGUGUGUUCCCAGUAUCCACUUUGGAAAAGAUCAUAGAAUUCCGCUUAUGUACUUGUUGCUUUUUGCUUGAAAAGAUUAUACUUCAUUAUGCAGUAUGAUUCUGGUAUCGUCACAUCAGGCCUAAGAUGUGCACUGUACUGCCUACAGCUAGAUAAAUAAUGGGCGUAUUUUGCUCCAAGUGAUCUCAAUUUUCCACCCAAGUAGCUGUAUUUGCUGCACGUCACGAAAAGAUCCAAGCUCAAAGCAAAUUCAUUUGAUUUGACUAUAACUGGUUUUUGUCGUUUGUGUUUUCAAAGAGGUUGGCUAUUUGGGUGGAGCCUGUUUCUUGUUAUUGCGGUAGCAGUUCAGAGCUCACGAGGUGUGAUAUUGCUUGCGGAGUUUGGUUAAGAGUGACAAGAUCUAAAUAGGCUGGAAAUAAAGGAGCUGAAGAUUCACCAUAGGCCUCGUCUUCUCUUUCGCUUGUUUUAAUGUAUAUUCACUGCUCCAAACGAGCUUGACUUGAAGCAUGUAAAAUUAGGGAUAUUUGCGGAGAACUUUGUCUAGGCAUAGAUGCAUUUUUCUUAUUGGAAGCUUUAUGGGCCAUUGAAUCUCAUUAUCAUGAACAAGGUUGCAGUUCCAUUCCGAUUUUGAUUAGUUCAAACGCAUGGUCCAUGCUUCAUUGAUUCUCAAUGAAUGCCAUGUGUCAGAAUUCUCCAAAGUUGGAUCUAACGUCAAAUGCCUACCAUGAUAUUUUGUUCUAAGACACUAACGAUAAAAGAUAGCUUGUUCUGAGUAUCUAGAUAUUUUCCUGUGACUGGUACGGUUAUUUUUCAUUCUUUCACCCAUUUCGACAUAACAUAUGGUGCUUUGGUUUGGGAAAGCAGUUGUAACUCAGUAAUAGGAAGAUUAAUGUGUAAUUCGUCAUAAGAGGGGAUCGUGAUUGUCCCUAGAUAUGAUAGAACUCUCGAAGGGGUCAUUUAAUUAAUUUCAUUUCAUUGUGGAAACCAAAUGGAAGAAGAAUUGAGUAUGCAGGAUGAGUGGAAGAAGAAUUGACCAAUUCAAUUAGGAGUGAUUUCAGGUUAUAUGGUAUUUCCUUGACUAGUUCUUACUCACAGAGUUAGUCUACACAAAAAGCAGUUUGAUUUGACUUCAGGCUAUUAUUCCAGUUUGAUUCGGCAAAUAAAAUGCAUACAUUGCAAUCAAUCCUACAUAAUUUAUCAUGACAAAUCCUCCUGGAUCAAUGCCUCUACCUGCCAAUUUGCAUUGCCAUUCUCCUAAAAAUCAUGAAAGGCCUGCAGUAGGAAGUUCCAUCCAAAAUUGCAUCGGUCCUUUAAUUCAUCCUGAAAUUGCAUUCCUCUGGAAAUGGAAAUCCUAGAUUCAAUGUUAAGACAAAGUUCCAUCCAAAAUUGGAUAGCAAUAUUGCAAAUGAAUCACAUUAGGCUAGUGAUACUUGCUGAACAAUGUGUAAAAAUCGCAUUGAUUAAGAGUGAAAAUCACUAGAUUUCAAUCUGGAGUAGUGAUCGAGAAAUCAAACUCUAACUCUUAGCCUCUAUUUUGGCCUUCUUAACAAAAGUAUGGCUAGUAUGAAUGUCGAGACUUGAUUUUAUCAUUUUAUUUCUCUUUUGGGAAAAUUCAGAGAAUCGAUUCAUGAUCAUGCAUUCAAAGUGGUGUUGCGACUUCGGUUUUAACAGGAACCUGUUCCCAACCUUGUUUCUAAUGUACCAAUGUGGAGGAAAUUAAAACAAAUAGGCAAUCUUCUCCAUGGGAGGUUUGGAAACUCGGCACAUUAUGGAGUUGGUUGAACAAACUUGGCAAAUUUCUGCGAAAGAAAAGAGAAUGGACACCUGCCUUGUCGAGUACUUUUUUUAUCUGAUAAGAAGUGCUUCCCAUUCUGUUUAUAUAAAUCUUUUUUUUUUUCUGCAAAUACCCUUGUUCAGAUCUUCUUUGUUUUGGUUUGGUUUGGUUCAUAUGGUUCAAUGGCUUGAUUUGCUAAAGGUGAGGUCAAAUUAUAUAAAUUUCAAGUGCAUUAUUUUGUCAAUAUAUUAUGUGGUGAUUUAUCUGAGAUACCUUAUAAUUUGCUACUUUGUCUUACUGUAUUUGAAAUUGGUCAAUGCCCUAGUGUGCUUCUUUCAUGACAUUCCUUGGUCCCGGGUGUCUUCCUGUGGUUUUCUAGUGUUACAAGAAGUCGUGUCCAUCUUGGACAUCUACAAUGUCCUCCCACGCUUUUUUAUUUUAUUAAAUAGGACAAACUGAAGGAAAAGACUGACCCAUUCAAUGACUUUCGCAAUCACCCUCACUGAACCAACUUGAAUAUGAACUACGAUUAUUUGGAUUUCCUUUGCAUGCCAUGUGCACUUAGACUUGACUUUUUCCCCUUUUUUCUUCCCUGUCCAAUAUUUGUUCGUUUCUGUGUAAAAUUUUUCGCUUUCUUCAUGCAGGAGAAUGUCAACUUCAUUAUACCGUAUACGUCAAAGUAGCCAUUACAAUGUGUGUGAAAGUAUCUCAGCACUUAUGGCAUCACCUCUACAACAACAACCGACACAAAAUUGCGACAUGAAGAAGAUGGAUACCCUACAUCGGUAAACGCAUUUCCAAUUUGUUUUUUGGGUAAAGCAUGGCUCUUAAGUUGGAUUCAUAGAAUUUGAAGAGGAGGCGUUCCAAUUCUUAAUUAUACUAAAAAAUGUUUCCAGCUGCAAAUGGACUUGGUCUAACAUUAUCUAACUUGAAGGUAAAUCUGAAAUAAUGACCCAAAUUGUUUAAUUUUUUUUUUUUGGUCAAGACCCAAAUUGUUUAAUUUCAAAUUAAUAGAAGUGUGGCAAAUAUUUUUCCAAUUCUCAAAAUUUAACGUUGAAUAGUCUCACGUCCGCAAGUUCUUAUAUUUGCACCUAUUUUUUGACCUUUUGUAAUAGAUAACCCACAAGAAUUAAUUGAGAGAGUGAAGAGACAAACCUUCGAAAACAUUAUUUGAAAUAGAGAACUUAGUCAACAUUUUUUUAAUCAUUAUAGUCAUUGGAGAGGUUUCACUAAACUUUUGCCAAUCAUCAUAGAGGCUUCGAGUACAAUUGUGAAUGUGGAAAUGCUAAUUGAGUUAAAUUCCAAAUGAGAUGUAAUAGGUCACAUCAUGUUUGUGAGCUUAUUUACCACACUUGUUAGUGGCUCAAAGUUUUAAUACGAUUACACAUUGGUUUUGUGUACCUUGUUUUAGUAAUGUUUUGUAUAAUAAUCAGCACGAUGCAUGGAUUUAAUGCCCGAUUGCAAUGCCUUGUGCGAAGCAAUGUAUUGAUCACUAGGGAGUGCUUUGACGAAGAUCAAGCCCGACAAUUCCACCAGGCUUUGUUUUUCAGAGUUAAUUCGGGCCUGGGCCCAAUCAGCCCAUUAAACUGGACGGACCGGAGUUCACCUUAAUUAGGAUGGGGAAACGAACUUGUUUUGGAAGUUCCAUGUCUGCUUUUGUUGACUUUACUUUGAAUGAAUUAUUUAGGGGCAAAAGUAGAUUCUCAUCCGAAAAUUUCUACACCACAUAGUCCAGUGAUUUUCCACGCUAAGAAGCAUAGUAUUUGUCACCUUUGACAGGCUGCAAUGAUGCUGCAAGGAAGCAUCCUUAUUGACCGAUUUUGCAGCAAAACUGGCCCACGAUUGUCUGCAUAUUAUGGGGUAAAGGAACAAAGGUCUCAAUAAUUAAGGCCCACAUAUAUACAAGAAGUGUUUAUUUUCCUUUAAAAAAAGUAAGAGUUAGGCAGUGGGAUCCCACGUAUUUUCUCCUCUUCAUGAGCUUUUAAGCCAAAGGAGCAAGCUGAAUUUGGAUUCAAAUGGAUGUAGUCUGAUUUCAAAAAAAAUUGUGACAAAAGUUUCGUUUUACUAAAACAAAAGUUUGGUGGAGUGAUAACGAAAGCUAAAGCUAUCGGAGAACAACUUCGAUCUUCCAUCAAUCUCAAUUCAAGAAAUUUGAUACUUCCCAAUAGUCUUCUUUUUAAUUCAUCGAGUAAUCGUGAUUUAAUAACUUCAAUCUUAAUAUUUUUUUUCAUGCUAGGAUUUUUACAUGAAAAGACUUCAGAACUUAUGAAUUAUGAAAUGGAAGAAUUUUACACUUCUAAAUCUAGCAAGAUUUUUUUUUUUCUAUCGCGAAACAUGGAAUGUUUAGUUACCACAAAAUCUAUUCAAAAAACAGAAAAAUACUUGCAAAGAAACACCAUCUGUCCAGAAAAGCUUUUUUCUUAAAUAAUUUAGUCAAUCAUGUCAUCAAUUAAUAAAAAAGUUGGAACGAUCUAAUUUAAUUAAAUGGAAAUGGAAUAUGUCGUAUACAUAUAAUUUUGCAUUGCAUCAAAAUACAUUCACUAGAUUAAGAAUUGGGUGAGAUCUAUCGAUGUGAAUUUGAUAAGGAUGCCAACAAACUAAAACCUAAGCUUCAUGUGCCUUGUCUUAACGUGGCAUUAGCAUUAGCUCCCACUCUCGGAAAAAGAGAAAAAAAAUCAGACAGAACAGCAUACGGGCAAUGCAAGAAGACUGAAACCAAUGAUUGAACCAAGUCAAAGUCUACGAAGACUUGGACUACCAACAGUCCAUGAUGAACCGGCUUGCUCAAGAAGGAAUCACACCAAUGGUUGACCCAAGUCAAAGUCUACGAAGACUUGGAUUACCAAAGGCACGCGCUCAAGCAUUGGCGAGACUUCUUUUCCACAUCAGGAUGACCCCAUCUUCUUUUUCUUUGCUGUACUGCUUUAUUUCUUUUCACUAUUCACUUUGCUUUUCAACAAGAGUUUCCCUUGGAUUCGUCAAGGCAAUUUCGCCGUGAAUAACUAUUGAGGUCCCAAUGGGUUAAUUGCAACGAGAAUUUUGUAAAAUAACAUGCAUUCAACAUUUUACAAAACAGAUGACAUUUUAAUUACAACUGCUAACAAUAUGUGGAUUUUUUUUUUUUUAAUGUUGUUAAAAAUAUGUGCACUUUUACUCAAUAAGCACGAACUCUUCAUCAUUGAAGUUUAACCAAUAAAUCUAGGUUAUUUACAAGUAAUUUAAAUAAGUAUACUAAAAUUGACACAUUAAGUGAUAUGAUCAAAUCAUGAUUUAAUAUUUAGCAAGUGAAUAAAUAGAUUUGUGAAAAUAGAUUCUACUCAAAUGGGAAUUCGAUACUUCCCAAGAGUGUUUUUUUUUUUUUUACUCAUCAAGUCAAUUUGAUUAAUAACUUCAAUCUUAAGUGUUGUUUUUGAUCACACUCGGAUUUCGGCCUGAAAAGAGUUAAGAAACUUAUGAAUUUUGGAAUGGAACAUUUUUAUACCUUCAGAUCUAGUGGGAAAACAUGGAAUGUAUAAUAACCACAAAAUUGAUUUAGAAAAAAAAAAAUUGCAAAAAAAACACUAUUUGUUUAGAAAUAUUUUGAUUUUUAAAUAGUCUAACCAAUUGUAUCAUCAAUUAAUAAAAAAGUUAAUACCGUCUAAUUUAACUAAAUGGAAAGUAUGAAAGUGUUGUAUACAUGUGGUUUUUGCAUUUGCACCGAAAUACAAUCAUUAGAUUAGGAAUUGCAUGAGAUUGGUCAAUGUGAUAUUGAUACGGACGCCAACAAUCUAAAACCUAAGCUCCCUGUUAACAUGGUAUUAACAUUAGCUACCACUCUCAGAAAGACAAAAAAAAAAAAAAAAAAGACAGGACAGCGUACCCGGGGGGGGGGGGGGGGUGUGGACUGAAACAUCACGGGAUUAGAAGGGAAAAGUCAGUCUACGAAGACUUGGACUGACAACAGUCCAUGAUGAGCUAGCAUUGCUCCAAGAGGGAAUCAAACCAAAGAUUGACCCAAUUAUACGAAGACUUGGACUACCAAAGGCACACGCUAAAGCAUUGGCGGGUCUUCUUUUCCACGCUAGGAUCCGUCUUCCUUUUUUUUUUUUUUGCUAUAUUGCUUUAUUUCUUUUCAUUAUCAAUUUGCUUUUAUGAUAAGAUUUUCCUUGGAUCCUCAGGGACGUUUGAGGUCUCUAGUUAGUUAAUUAUUUUGAUAGUUGAUUGACUGGCGGCCACCGCUUGAUCAAGGAUUUUUUUCUUCUUUUUGGCCUAGCAGCACUUGAUAAGUAGGGCCUCUGAACAUUUUUCCAUGUCUGAAUCGUCUCCCAAAGAAAAGAUCAAGUGAGAUCAACGAAGGGGAGGCAAUGCUUGUUUUAUUCAUCAUUGGAUUGAUCAUAAUCCAGAUUGUGAAAAGCUUAUGAUAUCGUACAUAUCAACGCUUUAUGAGUGACUUUUAUUGGCUAAAAGACGGUCGAUAAUGCAACUUACCUUGGUUAUUGUUGAGUUAGUAUUGUGAAACUUCAGUUGUGAAGUAGCUAUUUUUUUUAUCACGAAACAUAAAAUUUUUAGUUAUCAGGCGAAAUGUGUAUACAUAUAGUUUUGCCUUGCAUCAAAAUAAAAUCAUUACAUUAAAAAUUGCAUUAUCUACCGCUCUCCAAAGAAAAUAAAUAAAUAAAAGAACAACAUACCGGUAAGGGCAAAGUCAAAGUCUACGAAAACUUGGACUACCAACGGUCCAUGAUGAACCAGCUUUGCUCAGGAAGGAAUCACAUCAAUGAUUCAUUCAUUUGGUGCUUUGUCCCUCACAUAUAGGCAUUCAUAAACGAGGAGAUUCUAUCAAAAAGAAGGGAAAAAAAUGUCAUUAGAUCACUUUGUCAAAUCCAACACCGAUUCAUCGUUCUCCCAUUCACCCGCAAAAUUUACAUGGCAAUAAAUCGAUUUCUAAUUUUCACAUUCAUUGAUAAUUUCAUUACAUGAUUUCCUCCUAUUCUAUAAUCUCAUAUGAGAUUUGAAAAUCAAAUAAAAACAACCUCUAAGGAUGUAUUUAUGUUGCUGAGAAUUUUUUUUGUGACGGGAAAAUGCUUUUAGCAAAUUCAGUUUUAGAGAAAGGGAACCAGAAAAUUUUGAUUAUGGUGAAAACAAGUUGAAAAAAAACUGAUUUUAUUGUUAUUGGUAAUAAGUGAAUCCACUAAAUGUAGCUUGUAUCAUUAAAAGUAACAUGGAAUGACUAAUAAACUAGAAUCGAUAUCUUCUUCAUUUAUUCUAUAAUCCAUCGAAAUAACAUUGAUUACAAAGAAAAUAAGAUAGAAAUUAUGAAAUCAUAUUUGUAAAAUAUUAGAUAUAAUCAUGCUUUGGGAAUGUAGAAACAUUGAGCAUCAAUAAAGUAUAUUCUUCUCACUUCAAAGCUUAGCAAGAAAACAAGGGUAAUGAUUCCUUCUUGCCAAGUCAUUUUUCUCUAAGCUUAUUGUUAUUAGGGUUAAUACUACAAAAAAUCUCAAACUAGUAUAUCUGUGAUAAAUUUAUCAAAAAUUAAUUUUUUGAUCACCAAAAACUCCAAAUUGGCAAAUUUGUGAUAAAUUUAUCAUUCAUUAGUUUCCAUUAACUUGAAUAUAUACUAAGAAAAAACACAAACCAGUGCACAUGUGAUAAAUAGAGAAUAAAAUCCCAAACCGAUAGAAUGAUCAAUUGUGAAAAUUUGAUGUAUGUUUUUGUUGAGUUGACUUUAAAUGAAUCCACCAUUUAUUUGGGAGGCAAAAGUCGAUUCUAAUCCCAAAAUUUUUGCAUCAUAUGGUCCAAUGAUUUUCCGCGUUAAGAAAUGUACAUAAUUGUCAACUUCGAUGGGCUGGAGCGAUGCUUCAAAGAGUCAUUCUUAUUGACCAAAUUUUGCAGCAAAUUGGCCCAUGACUCUCUCUGCAUAUUCAGCCAAUCCUGUGGCUUCUAUGUACAAUAACCUCCCCAAAAGUCAUUCAAAAAGAUCUUUCCUUUUUAUUUCAUUGAUAUUUCUCUGGUGAAGGAACAAAGAUCUUUGAUAGCUAAGGCCCGCAUCUCAUAUGAAAAGUCUCUCUUUUCCUUUAAAAAGAGAGGAGUUAAGGCAAUGGGAUCCUACCUAUUUUCUCUUCUUCCUGGAGCUUCUAAGCUGUAUCGGAGGAUGCUUAAUUUCAAUUUGAAUGCAAAGAAUUUUUUUUUUAAAAAAAAAUCUGCAACGAUACCUUUAAAGUUUCGUUUUACUAAAACAAAAGUUUAGUGGGGUUUAAUUAAAGUUAAAGCUAUCGGAGAACAAAUUUGAUCUAUGUUGGUCUCGAAUGGAUGAAUUUGAUAUUUCCCAAGAGUCUUUUUUGACUCAUUGAGUCAAUCGUGAUUAAUUGCUUCAAUUUUAACAUUUCCUUUUGUCAGAUUUGAAUGGACGUAUGAAAAGAUUUAAGGGCUUAUGAAUUUUGGAACCAAACAGUUUACACCUUUGGAUCUUGCAGGAUUUUAUUUUUGCUCCUUGGCUGCCCCGCCAUGUGUUUCCUCCAUGUCGUCCUUAUCAAAUACAAAUUAGUUCAUUUAGUCCACAUCGUACCCAUCGAAAUCUGAAGGUCUCGGUGGUGUUGGAGCAUUUGCAUCAAUCAUGCACUCCCCGGCAACUUUGAGGAGGUCAGCUUGUCAAUCACGUGGAAUGACCAUGGCCAUGGGCAUGGGUUAGGGUUUUGGAGGCGUGUGAGCAAAGAGCAGUGACAACGAGGGGAAAAUCAAGGAUUUGGAGCAAAGGAAGAAACGUGCGAAAAGGUCAAGGAAUGAUGGGGAAGGAGUUGUCGUGGGGUUUAAACGAAGUUUACCUAGAAGAGAAACUAAAUAAAAGGAAAGAUAAAAUUCUAAACCUGGCCAUGUUGAAUACUCUCGUCUCUUCAUCCAAAUAAAGAGAGACCCAUCAUAUGCUUUCUUCUCCCGAAAAAGAGUAAGACCAGAUGUGAAAUGCUAAAAUCAAGGUGGACAAAUGUGAGUCUCAAGCGCGAAGCGAAAAAGGAUAAAAAGCAAAGCAAUAAUUAUUCCGUCCCACUUUUCCUUUGAAGUUUAAAGUGUAGCCCGUUUCUUUUGCAAGAAAGACCGCGAGGUGAAUUAUCUCACUUCUCGGACCCUAAAAGUUGCUAAGUUCAGUUUUCUUUCGAAAGCUUAAACUUUGACUCUAAAAUUGCAAAGUUCAGAUUUUUAAGUUCAUCGCUGUCCAAGCAAGACACCAAUUCAUCUCAUAACAUAUUUUGAUGGGACAUAUUUUCGGUUACCAUAUAAGUUUGGGAUUUUGAUGAUAAAAGUACAAUUUGGAUAAUUGGUAAUAUGGUAAAUAUAAAGGUUAGGAUUUUUUAUGGAAUCACGCACUCAAUGUCGUCGAAUUUGCUGCCCACCCAUUGCCAUCACUAGCCCUCAACUUCAUGCAUCAAUCCACCGGCGAGUUAAUGCCUCGCCUGCUCUAGUGUGUCCUCUACACCUUCAUCUCUUUUUCUUUCCACGCAGAUCUCAUAACCUAUGUCCAUGGAACUCACGACUGGCAGAGGUCGCUAAUCUCACAUGGCCACAAAUAUGUGGUUGAAUGGCCAUGGCGUCAGGGCUUGACUUGGUUAAAUCGCUUGAUUUUUUUAGGAACGGAGAGAGGCCCUCGUCUCCAUUGAUCAUUAAAAUCAAUACCCAAAAAGAAAAGGAUAAAUAUAUUCCUCGCCAAGAGGGCAUUUGGGUAUUUUAGCAGCAGCAAAAAGACCAAACGCAAUUGAUAGGGGAGAGAGGCGAAGAGCAGGCAGAAAAGGAUAGGUGGCCGUGAUUCUGGUGGAUGGAAAGUAGAGCUAUCAACCGUCGGUGGUCACAUGACUCACAUGAGGGGACUGAUGAUAUCGGGUGUAGUGAAGCGGGAGCCAAUUAAUAGGAAGAAGAUGCUAAAUCAAUCCGGGGUCAUUCGAUGGAUGAGAUGGACUCUAUGGAGAAUUCACACAAUCCAUCCGUGCAUGAGUCGUGUUCACAUGCCUCGGUGCGUGAGCGGCCAAGAUUUGCUUGAAGAAGAGGAAGUGAAGAGAGGUGUAAUCCAGUCCACAUGCCGCAUUUGAUAGGGCAACCCCGAAAUGAUGGAUUUUCAGCCUGCACGUCCCCAUUGAAAUUGCCAUAUUUUCCAAAACUUCUGUUGCAUUUUUCAGGUUUGGAGAGCACGUAAAACGGAAGGAAGUGUUUUCCCCAAAACAGCCUCGAUACUUUUUCCCCGACUCGGACAUGCCCCUGUCCCAAAAGUGACACUACAAUUAUGUACAAGCAAAGCUGUGAGUGAGACCUGUGCCCUGUCAUUCCUAUAAAUUUGUGGGCAAUGUCGUGGGCAUUUUAUCGCGACAUGGUGUUGUUGGGUAAUUUAAAGGAAGAAGGAAGAUGCAAUGGACAUCGUGCGGUUCCCUUUCAGGGUGAAAGCAAACUCUACAACGACUAUAUUAUUAAAAUACGAACUGGCCCCCGACUCUCAACAUGGUUAGCCAAUCUUGUCUUCUACGUUUAAUGACCCACGGAGAUCUCCAUUUGUAAUUGUGGCUUCUAAAAGUGAUUUUGAUUUCGCAAUAUGCUGUACUGAUUUUGCUGUUAUACAGUUCAAUUUUUUUUCCUCUAAGAGAAGAUCGAGAGAGAUCAAUGGAGAGGAGGCAAUGCUUCAUGCAUUCACCAUGGGACCGUCAUCCAGGCCGUGAAAAGCUUAUGAUAUUGUAUGGACCAACUCUUUAUGAAUAACUUUGAUUGUCUAAGGAAUGGUUGAUACAAGUUGAUUUUGGCUAUUUUGGUUUCUAUCAAUUCUAUAUCGUAAAACAUUAAUUGCGAAGUGGCUAUUUUCUAUCGUGAAAUAAGAAAUAUUUAGUAGCCUCGGAAUUAAUUUUGAAACUUGAAAAUUACUUGCAUAAGAAAUACCAUAUGUUUAGAAAAACUUUGAUCUUUAAAUAGUCUAGCCAAUCAUGUCAUCAAUCAAUGAAAAAGUUGAUAAUGUCUAAUUUAAUUGAAUGAAAAGAACAAAAGUGUUGUAUACAUAUAGUUUUGCCUUGCAUCGAAAUACUAUCAUUAGAUUUAAAAUCGCAUUAGCUACCACUUUGAGAGGAGAGAAGACAGAACAACGAACGGGGUGGUGCGAAGACUGAAACAUCACGGGAUUCGAAGGGCAAAGUCAAAGUCAACAAAGAGUUGGACUACGAACAGUCCAUGAUUAACCAGCUUGCUUAAGAAGGAAUCACACCAAUGAUUCAUUUAUUUAGUACUUUUUGCCUCUCGGUUAGACUUCCAUAAUGUAGAGAUUUUAUUAAAAAAAUAUGUCACCAAGAUCACUCUGUAAGAUCCAACACUGAUUCAUGGUUCUCUCAUUCACCCCCCAAAAAUCACAUGAUAACAAAUCGAUGUUCAAUUCCCCUAUCCAUUGAUGAUUCUAUCUUACAAUUUCCUUCCAUUGAAUAAUAUCAUAUGAAAACAAACUUUUAGGUUGUGCUUAUCUCGGUGAGAAUUUUUUUUUUUUUGAAGUAGGAAAAUGUUCUAGGAAAUUCAAUCUAAAAAAAAAAGUAAACCAAAAAAAAAAUUUGAUUGUGCUGAAAACAAGUUGAAGAAAUUGAUUUUAUCAUAAAUUAUAAUAAGUGAAUUCAUUAAAUGUGGCUUGUAUAGUUAAAAGUAACAUGUAAUGACAAAUAAACUGGAUAUGACAUCAUCGUCGUUUAUUCUAUAAUCCAUCAAAAUAACAACGAUUACAAAGAAAUUAGGAUAGAUAUCCGGGAAAAUAAUUCUUCUUUCUAAGUCAUUUUUCUCUAAGCUUAUUUAUUACUUUUAGCCCAUGGUAAACAUUUUUAUGGAUCGAAUAGCUUUACGUGAUUCAAACAUUGGAAAUUACAGAAACAAAUUUCCAAAUAUGAUUUUUUUUUCCAUCAAACUAAGAAGGAAGAUCUUGAGGGGCAAUUCCUUUUCUUUUUUUUUUUUUUUUUUUUUUUCAUUUUUUGAGAAAAGUACUACCCUCCGGAACAAAGUUGUAUGAGUGUCUACACGACAACGUUGUUGAUGAAUCCAAACCAAAAAAAGAAGACGUUGAUAAAUGUCAAAUUUGUACGCCGAUAGACCAUAUAAUUGAUGCCAAUAAAGAAAUCCAAAGUGAACAAUCAUAUCCCUUCAUAUUCUUUCUUGUCCCGAAAAGGAGAAGAACAAAAGUGAAAUGCCGAAAAGAAGGUUGACAACAUAAGUUCUCAAGCGCAUAGAGAAAAAGGAAAAAGCAAAACAAGAAUAUAUUCCAUCCCACUUUUGGUAAAGUUAAUAUUCCAUUUUCACGAAUGAUAAUUAUUAUUUAUAUUACUGGAAGUAAUUAAUUAAUGAAGACUGAAACAUCACUGGAUUAGAAGGGCAAAGUCAAAGUCUACAAAGACUUGGACUACCAACCGUCCAUGAUGAACCAACUUUGCUCCGAGAAGUAUUCACACCCAUAAAUGAGCCAAGUCUCCGAAGACUUGGACGACCAAAGGCAAUGCUAUUGGCGGGUCUUCUUUUCCACGUUAGGAUUGAACCAUCUUCUUUUUCUUUUCUUUUAUCGCUUUUUUCUUUUCAUUAUCACUUUGCUUUUUUGACGAGAUUUUCCUUGGAUUCUCGCCGUGAAUGAUGGCUGUGGUUCCGGUGGGUCGAUUACCUUGAUAGUUGAUUGGUAAGCGGCCACCAUUUGAUCAAUAAUUCCUUCUUUUUUUUUUUUUUUGCACAGCAGCACUACUCUUUGAGGAUACAGAUGAGUUGGGGCUUCUAUAAGUGGGCAAGAGCCUCAACCCCGAACACAAAAGGCACCGCUACUGCUCGCACCACUCCGUCCACCAACCUUCCGGCGGAUUCACGACAGACACAAGUGAUCGAGCCUCCAGUAGCUCCAGGUUCGUAGGUACCGUCUAUGUUUAUCUUUAGUGUUUCAGCCUGCGGUGGGUUCCAAAAUCGUGACGAUCCGUCGCCGGUCUUACUAGAUUCGCUCGAUUUUGGGUUCCAUCUGUUGAAACUCUUCAACCUAGCUAAAGCGGCUCAAGCUCAUCUUCUGCAACGUCUGCUGAGAUUCCUUCUCAAGUCCUCUCUCUCUCUCUCUCUCUCUCUCUCUCUUUCGGUGGGCGUUGCGAGUUCUUGCUUUUUGUGUACACGAGUCUCGCUGUUUGUGGGUUCGCGGGUGAGAUCGAGUUUCGUGCUUGAGAUGGGUCGGAUUCUGCCGGCGUCGGGAGAGAUGGGUCGUCGGCGUUUAGGCGUUUGGUUUCCGUUUUUUCCGGUUGUUGCUCUGGUUUUAGCUGGUUCCGUGCAAUCUGAGCUCUUUGAGCUCGAGAGGUCGUGCCCCCUCCUCCGUCUUCCUGUGCUCUCGCCCCCCGCGAGAAUUUUGCUUGAGCUGUGGUUUGAGAUCUUGGUUAGGCUUGAGUGAGAAAAGUAGGGAGAGCUGUCGAAACAGAAAGAAAGAAAAUAGAGGAACCCCGAUGCGGGAUGACACGAGUGCGAUUAAAUUUGAGUCGAACGCUACUUAGUGCAUUGCGACGUUGUUUUCUGGAAUUCGAGCUAACUUUAGUUUGGAACUGAUGAUUGACGCGGCGACGGUGACAGGAUAUGACUUGCGGCCCAUUCGGAGGCUUUGAGAAGUUUGCAGAUUGUGGGAAGAUUAGCAGGAACUAAUGAUUAUUUUAGAAAUUAUACAACCGCCUCCAAAAUAUGAGAGCUUUACCUCGUGCAUUGUCAACUUUGACAAGCUGGAGUGAUGCUGCAGUGAAUCAUUCUUAUUAAAUAAUUGUAGCACACUGGCCCACGACUCUAUGCAUAUUUAGCUAAUUCAGGCUACCAAGUUUAUUGACCUAUAGAGAUUUCCAUUUGUGAGUCAGGCUUCUAAACAUUUUCCAUCUCUGGCUGCCAUUGCUUUUGUUGAUAUGCUGUUUGGUAUUUCUUGAAGAUCAUGUAGAUGGAAAUCAUGCGGAAAAACAACGUACCUGUAAAAAUUGAUGGAAUAGCAGGGAGCGCUUCUUUUACUCACACUGCGACAGAAGGUCAAGGAAUGGCUAAUUCAUCAGGAUAUGAAUAUGAAGUAUUCUUGAGCUUCAGAGGAGAAGAUACUCGAACAGGUUUUACCGACUUCCUUUACACUAGUAUGAUAGAUGCGGGAAUCCGCGUCUAUAAGGAUGACGAAGAGCUCCGCAAGGGGGAAAAUUUUGGCCCGGAACUUCUCCGAGCAAUUAAUCAAUCGAAGAUCUCAAUACCUAUAUUUUCGAAAGGUUAUGCCUCUAGCGGAUGGUGUCUCAAGGAGCUAGUCCAGAUGGUCGAGUGCCAAAAAACUAGGGGACAAAAGAUUAUGCCCAUUUUUUAUGAUGUAGCACCUUCAGAGGUUCGACGCCAAAUUAAAGGUUAUGGAGAGGCCUUUCUUACACAUGAAAACAAGAAGCGAUAUGACAAAGAGACUAUGUGUAAGUGGAAGGCUGCUCUCACCACAGUUGGAGAACUAGAUGGAUGGGACUUGCAAAAAAUGGCCAACAGGUAAUUGCCUCUAUCAUUCCAUUUGAUGUGCCUUGUCCCAUUAAAACUUGAUAUGUUUCACUGUUGAAAUUGGAUUUUAUGCUAUUGAAACUUUACCGCAUAAAUCACUCGAAAUAAUGGGACAAUCCCCAUUUUGUCCUUUUUCAUUGCAAACAAUUUUUAUUUUAUUUUAUCUUAUUUUCAGUUAAGGUCAUUCGUUAAUCAUAUGUGCCAAUGCUAAUUCAUUUACAAUGAAGUAAAUCCUUGUAGAAAGCAUUACGAAUAGGUCUUUAGUUUUCACUUUGGUCUUGUUAGAACAUAACUUGGUUCAACACAGUUUUCUAACUCAUUGCCAUUUGACCUCCAACAAACACUAGGAAAGAAGGUGAGAUGGCAAAAAUAAUUACCCAGAAGGUUUUCAAUGAAUUGAAAAAGGCUUAUUUGGUGGUAUCAAACAACUUGGUUGGUGUGGACAGUCAUGUGGAUAAAAUCAUGGAAGAGAUAGGUGCUCAUAUAAAUGAAACGUGGAUCGUAGAAAUUCAUGGGAUGGGUGGCGUUGGAAAGACAACAAUUGCCAAAAUCAUAUACAAUGAGCUUUCCAACAAGUACAACAAUUGUUGCUUCCUUUCCAACAUCCAUGAAACGUCAAAGCUCAGGGGCAUUGAGUACUUGCAGCAGCAGCUCAUCUUCGACAUCCUCAAGAUGAAAGGGACGGAUAUAAGAAACAUUGAUGAAGGGAUUAAGACCAUUAAAGAAAGGUUGCCUAAUAAAAAAGUCCUCCUUCUUCUUGAUGAUGUUGAAGAAAAGGAUCAUAUUGAUGCACUUGUCGGUAAGCGUGAUUGGUUUGGUGAAGGGAGCAAACUUAUUGUUACUACAAGAAGGAAAGAUGUUCUCUGUGUUUUGGAAGUGGACUGGAGGUAUGAGCUUACGUGCUUGGAUCCGAAUCUAUCUCUUCAACUUUUCAGCAGACAUGCCUUUAGAAGAGAUUCUCCUUUAGACGAGUAUAUCAACCAAUCCAAAAGGGCGAUACACAUUGCUGGAGGUCUUCCAUUAACCCUUGAAGUCAUAGGUUCACUUUUAUCCAGCAAAAAUAAAGAAAUGUGGGAUGCCACAUUGAACUUGUUAGAAAGUGUUCCUCAUGAUAAAGUUCAGAAUAAGCUGAAAAUAAGUUAUGAUGCAUUAGAUUAUCGGCAUAAGCAUAUAUUCCUUGAUAUAGCUUGUCAUUUCAUUGGAUAUCGCAAAGACAUUGUGGUUAUUUUCUGGGAUGCAUCUGGACUUUUUUCGGAAGCAACCUUGGAAGUUUUGCAGAACAUGUCUUUGAUAAAAAUUGAAAAAGAUAAUAAAUUGUGGAUGCAUGAUCAACUUAGAGACCUCGGAAGAGAAAUGGUUCGUCAAGAAAGUAAGAUGAAAAUUGUGAAGCAACGUUGGGUGUGGAAUCCCAAGGAAGGAUCGGAUCUGCUGAAGAGCCAUGAGGUAAAAUUCCCUAUAAAAAUAAAUCUCCAAGUUACUUAUGGACAUUUUCUUUUCAAAAGGAAGCAAUUAUUUUUUGUAUUCUCUAGCACCGUCGCGACCUAAUCUCUUUUAAGAUUAAAGGAAUAUAAGUACUCAACUCAACCCCUUAAAAUUUUUCCUUUGGACAGAUGAAGAAAAAAGUUGAAGCUCUUCAUUUCAAGGUUGACGAUCAGCACCAUUUUACCUAUGAGGACUUUAAGAACCUACCCAAUCUAACGUUCCUUAAAUUGGAGCAUCUUUGGCGCGAAAGGCCAUUAAAAUUUUUUUCAGCUAAUUUAUUCCAGAAAAAUUCAAAUCUCCUUCCAAAAUUACAAUGGCUUUCUUGGCAUAAUAUUCACCCAACAUUUGAGAUUACAAAUUUCUCCAUGGAUAAUUUGAUUAUCCUCGAUCUAUCUCAGAGUAAAAUUACUCAUGAUUGGAAGGGGUGGAGCCACAUGAAGGUAUGUUAUAUUCUAGACAACACUUAUUCUUUCGCCUUAUUAGAUUCAAAAGUAAACUUUGCAUGAUUUUUCUUUUACAGGUGAUUAAAAAUUUGAAAGUUCUAGAUCUGACCAAGUGCGAAUGCUUGAAGAUAACCCCCGACUUAUCUGCUCAUUCAAAAUUAGAAUGUUUGAUCCUAUUGGGUUGUUCUUCGUUAAUCGAAAUUGAUAGAUCAAUUUGUCAGUUGAAAUGCUUGGUUUUCUUAGAUGUAAGUGAUUGUCAGAGUCUUCAGAGGCUGCCAAAUGAGCUGGGAGAUCUUGCAAGCCUCAAAUACCUAUCUCUAAAUGGAUCCUUGUGUUUGAAGAGGCUUCCGGAGACAAUCGGGAAUUUGAAAUCGCUGAUUGAGUUGAACAUGAGUGGCGUGAGAAUCAAAGAACUACCCGAUUCCAUCAAAAAGUUGAAGAAUUUGAAAAUAGUGAAUAUGAAAUAUGUUGAGAUAAGCAAAAUACAUGAUAACUUUUGGACAAUAGAGAAGCUUGAAAUAACAGAACUCAUCUACUAUAAUUAUGAUGACAAGCACGUGGCAAUUGGUGAUUGCAUCUAUGAGAAUAAAUCCUUGACGAUCUUGAGAUUGUCAACGGCGGCGACAAUACACGCCCCACCAAGGCUCCCUGAAAGUCUUUUGGAAUUAGAACUGAAAUGGUUGAGGGAGGACACGUUUCCGGAUCUCUCAAAUCUCACUAACUUAAAGGUAUUGGAUCUGACCUUUGGCCCACCUAAUUGUGAUGGGAAAUCUGAUGGGCUUCUGGAAGAACCGAUACCACCGUGGAUUGGGAACUUAACCAAAUUGGAAUCUCUGAAAAUCUGCUUUCCCUGAUCGACUCAUUGACAGACCUCAGCCUCCCUCCUCAUCCGCGUCGCCUCCCGAGGCUUCCCUCAAAUUUAUCCUCCUUACUUCUCGAGGGUUGCGUCUCACUUUGCUCGAUGGAUCUAUCGAAUUUGAGGAAACUAUCGUCUCUCAACAUUUCGGGGUCUGCAGUUGCAGAGAUUGAAGGCCUUGGUUGUUUGGAGAACCUACGAGAUUUCCACCUUUGGUACGUCGGACAGCUGGUGAUGCUACCUGAUCUAAGCAAGUUAAACAAGCUAAGGAAUAUUGCAGUAUGGGGGUGCGGUAAUCUGGUUGAGAUUCAAGGCGAACUACCGCGGUUUUUGGAUUAUCUUUCAAUUGAUUACUGCGAUUCGUUACGGGAGUUCCCCGAUCUGUUCAGCUUACCCGAUCUGUUCAGCUUAAUGGGUAAGAAAGAUGUUUGUAUGCAUAUUUGCAUUCAGGUGUUUGAAUAUAAACGUAGACAUCGGUUGCUGGUUCGUGGCUUUAAACAGAUGCAGAUCCCUGAUCUAAGCAAUUGGAACAGACUAACAAUUCUUUCAGUAGUAUCUUGUCAUAAUCUGGUUGAGAUUCAAGGCAAACUACCCCAAUCUUUGGAAACAUUGUAUAUUAGCAGCUGUAAAUCUUUAAAGAAGUUGCCUGAGCUGUCAAGCUUGAAUAGACUGCGAGAGGUUACAAUAUUACGUUGUGGGAAAUUAGCAGUGGAGGAAAUUUCUCGGCUUUGCUCGGAGAAGUCAAUCAAAUUUGUGGGAGAAGAAGAUGAAGAAGACGAAUCUGUGGAAGAAGACGAUGAAGAAGACGAAUCUGAUGAAGAAGACGAUGAAGAAGAUGAAUAAGUGCACGUUGCACUUGGAAGCUUUUUGAUGCGCGACCACAAAUUGUUCCCUUGUGUUCAAACCUUAAACAAAUUGAGGUAAGUACCAAUGUUUUCCUUUUUUUGGCAAUCAAAUUCUUUCACAUAUAUGAACAGAGAAGUUUUGCAUGCACUUUUUAACGACCUUUUAGCGGAUUCUUGUCUGAAAAUCUGAUGAAGGUAUUUAAAUUAUGAUGCCUCCGAACAGCCAGAGGGCUCUUAAUUAUGUACGAGUAUUUGUGUUCUUUUCCUAGUUUGGUUUGGCUUUUUUAGCUACAUUUUCUUAGGAUGGUUUCUCCUAGAGGUAUGCAUGUCGAUUGCAUCAUUUUUAUUUGAUAUGUAACAAAUUAUUAGAGACCGUUGUUGAUUUGCUGCUUCACACAUAUUUUGAAAUUGAUAACCUCACUUCACAAGGGAGAUAAAUUCGCUAUGCCGUAAACAAAUAGAUGGAAUGUGUGUUGGAAGGUCAUACAAAUAUGGUUCUCAUUCUGGGACUUUACAGCACAAUCAACUCAUUGUUGCGACUUUGAAGUAGACAGACACUCUGUAUUGCCAUGCUUAAGUUCAGUUUAUUUUUCAGGAAACGUGUGCUUCUUAGUGCGAUUUGCAAAUGUUAUGGAGAAGUCAUAAAUGAGGGAGCCACCACAAUUCUGAGAUUACCAGUGUGGCAGCACUGGCUAAAGCAAUAGCACCAGAAUAUUUUAUCUCAGCAAUGAUGCCUUCAAUCAUAGCAAUCUUUGAUGGGCACACUGACAAAAAUCAUUCUGUGCAGCAAACGUCGCCUACAGGAGUAACUGAGAGAACGCAGCAUUCGCUGUACCAGUAGAGAAGGAGCGCCCUUUUGCUGAGACUUGAGAAUUGCACUCACUUACAAAAGAUUGGUAAGAAAAAGAGAGCACCUUCCCUUGGGGCUGCCUUCAGUAAUAGAACUGUGCAUUCUGAAGCAAUAUUGGCAUUGUUUCUGUCAUGAGAUCCACUCAAUUCCAGGAAAACACUGGCACUGCCACCAAAGUCGGUUAUGCGUCAUAUGCUACUCGCCACCUCAGAAGAACUUUCAUCAAGUAGUGGUGGCUCUUCCAUGUACACAAAACCUUUCAUAGAACCUAGCGAUCAUAAAAGAAGAGCUUUACACGAGCCAAGCGUCAAUUUGAGAAAUUCUUCCAUAUUCUUCGCAUGUACAAAAUCCAAAAGGAUUCCAAUCUGCCAUACUACUUUCAGUUGAGAAAGCAACUUGGGAUCCAUUUCUGGAGCCAAUGCCAGAGCCACGCGCAGCUCAACAUCAUUCACAUUUGCACAGGACAGAUCAUCAAGUGAAAAUCUGAAGCAGUGGCUGACUGUCUAUGGUUGUAGAAUCUCAAAAUUUUUAGUCAAGUUGAACUCUAUGAGCAUCAGGAGGAGCUUCUGCACACACAUUGGUAUCGGGGUCCUCAUCCUCAUUCAAGGUCAGUCAAAGAGGGAGAAAUUGCAUCUAGGAUAUGGAUUUCAAGCCUGGCAGCUUAUGCUCUAACUCUGGAGUUUUGAUUAGGAAAACGAACAUUGCAUCAAACGGAAUCUUGAGGGACAGAAAUCUGGCAUCACCAUCCUUGUUGGCCUUAUACAGAACAUCCAGACUCAGCAGAAUCCCACAGAUGAAUACGUCAGAGCUUUCAGGAAUCCAGUAUGACUCCUCUGUGAUGGACUCAACGCUUGCAUUUUGAGCCGGCAAUGCAGGUUCUAGGAACGGAUCAACGUUGUGCUCUGCUUUCCUUGUUCAAUCCUGAACUUCUCUUGGAUUGUGUUUGUAAUUAGUGUGCUGAAUUAUGCUUCGUGUGAAUGUGAACCAUCUAAGUUUUGCCUGUCCAGUGUUUGGUGAUCAUGUGCAAUUUGGUGUUUGAUGAAAUGAGCUAUGUGCUUGAGAUUGCGUGUGCUGGAUUGUCACCUUCGAAGCACUUGAAGCUAAAGCUGAAGCUGAAGCGCAAGGUCUAUUGCAAUGGCUUCCUCUCUCUCCGCACCCCCACAGGCAAGGUACCUUCGCUUUCACUACUAAUCUCUACCACUGAUGUCCAGCUCAACCCGAUCAGCAAUUUAGUUGCCUUUGAUUGGGCUAGGACAUGAUUCAGUUUGAUUGGCUAAUCUAUGUCAAAAUGGCAGUGGCUGUUAAAUUAUUACUGUUUUCUCCCAAAUUUAGCUUGCUCGAUCGAACUGAACAGCGGCAGCUUGAUGCUGCUUACGAUUUCAUUUUUUCUAUCAUCACGGAUUGUUCUAUUUUGUGCUUCUGGUUGUAAUACUCGCCGUGAUUGAGCUUGUUUUGAGUAGAUUAGUCCAUGCUGUGAUUGAUGGUUGGAUAAUGCCGUAUCAUGGCAGCGAGCAGCUGUUGGAAUGCAGGAUUUUGAAGAAUGAUGAAGUUAUUUGUUCCGGUGAGUCACUGAUUUCAAUGCUUAUUUGGUUGAUGUUGGAGAGCCUGGAGGAGGACAAAAGCCUCUAGAUGAUACUUAUAUUCACAGCCUGAUUAUUAUUUGGCAAUUGGAUUUAUAAGUUCCCUCUGCCGAGGGUAUUCCUUGCUUGUUUUCUUCAUAGUUGUUUUGUUGGUUCAAAUCAUCAGUAGGUGCAAUGUGAUGAAUGUGAAGUUCUUGGGUUUGGUUUGUUAAAAGUCCAAAUGGGUAUAUUUUACUUAUUGUUUGUCUUGGAAAAAAGAGCGUUGCUUGCAUACAAAUACGCGUAGACCCUACUUUGUGAUGCUUUGCUUGUUGCUUGUGUGGGAAAUUAAAUAUUUGUUCUUUUCCUUGCUUCAAACAGCUACUUGGGUAUGGUUCAUGUAUUGAUUGAUUUAGAAUCUAGAUGUAAACAUUUGCAAUUGAUCUACUGUUGCUUUUGUUCAAUGCAACUGAUCUUUUGAAACUCCAUUUUUUUCGUUAAAGUUUUUCCUUUUGUUAACCUUACUUUCAAUUGAUGCAGAGCUUUGGUUGAGUUUUUGGAUAUGAGGUUCAGUAUAAUCCCCUCUAUGAAUUACGAGGUGUGUUUUCCUUUUAGCUACUUAAAUCCUUUGGCAUGGAAUCUACAGUUGUAUUGCCUACAUAACUUUUCAUUUUCUGCAGAUGCUCCUAAUUCCUCAGAAACCGAAAAAGAAACACUGGUUAUUUUAGAAGAAACUGGUCGCUUAUGAUGUUGCAACCUGCCGGAAAUGGGAACCAAAUUGAUACCGUCCCUAUACCCUACAUAUAUAGAUUCUACAUCCCAAAUAGCACAGCUUGCUUUACAAUGCCUCCAAAUGACUCCUAACGAGCAGCCUUCGAGAUCUAAAGUCGUGGAAGAACUGGAAUCAGUAGACACUGGCAUCGCUAAUAGAAUAGAAGGGGAUAGUUAAAUUCACUUAUUAUGUCAUUCUUACUUUAUGUGAUGUAAGUCAAAGUCUGUUGUUCCACACUUUUCCAUUUUCCCGGGAACAAUCCCGGGCUUUGAAUGUUCAUUUCUAUUGUACCCAGCAGUUACUAGGAGUUGUCUUCUCUUGUAAGUUCUUUGGAAUAUCCAUGACAUGUAUAUUAAUAAAUGCACCGCUUUGUGAAUUGAGAUGUGAUUGUACUUAUGUUUAUGAGAGGAACAGUUCUUUAAGGCUAAUCCUCGAUCUUGUUGGCAAUCUGAGGUCCACAGAAGAAGUCCGUUGCUCUUCAAGAGCCCGAGCUCUUUAAUUUUCUUACAUGCUUGGGCUUUGAACAUGCGCAAAAGGUCAUUUUGGUUGCCAUUACGAAUGUGUUUAUGUGGUGCUUGCUCUGCAAUCAAUCUCCAGGAAGUGCUAGGCGGUUCAGUCCAUUCUCAUGGUAUUUUUGAGCUAUGAGACAUGGUUGGGGAAAUUGAUGGGAGUCAUUUAAGGCAAAGUGCUGCUCAGUUGUCCAUUCAGAAAGAGCAAGAUAUGACUUUUGGUGCUGUCAUGUUGCAGCUAAGACAUGUCUGAUUGUUUUGUGCUAAUAAGAGACAUUUCUUAUCAUAUGCCAGUUUUAGAUAAAACUUUUCAUGUGACAUCAUAAAAGACUAAAUUUUAUUUUGGGUUAAUACCCUGAAAAACCCCAAACUGGUACACAUGUGACAAAUUUAUCCAAAACUAUUUUUUUGAUCAUAAAAAACCCCAAAUUGGUACAUCCGUGACAAAUUUACCCCGACUAACUAUAAAAAAAAAAAACCCUAAACUGGUAUAUUUAUGACAAAUUUACCCCAAACUAAUUUAUUCGGCCGCAAAAAACUCAAAAAUGAUAAAUUUGUGACAAAUAUACCCUCGCUAAAUUGGAUUAAUACUACAAAAAAAAUCACAAAAAUUGUAAACUGUGAUAAAUGGAGCAUAAAAUCUUAAAUUGGUAUACCAGUUAAUUGUCACGUGUCAUUUAACUUAAUAAUUUAACAUUAAAAUUUAACGAAAACUAAUAGAGGGUAAAUUUGUCACAAGUGUACCAGUUUGGGGUAAAUUUGUCAAAGGUAUACCUGUUUUGGGUUUUUGGUGGUCAAAAAAAUAGUUUGGGGUAAAUUUGUCACAAGUGUACCAGUUUGAGGUUUUUCAGGGUAUUAAUCCUUUUAUUUUUAUAUUCUCAAAUUUAGAUAAGACUUUCCAUAUGACAUCAUAAAUUACUAAAUUUUAUUUUUAUAUUCUCAGUAACUUAGCCCAUUGGUUAUUGUACUUUCUUCACUAUUUGUAAAUCUAAGGGCCCUAUUAUUUUCGACACUUCUUAUGUAAUUUUUUUUUUUGAACUUGUUGAUAUGUCUCUUUUACAUCACUCUCAACGCGAAAAUAUAAAAGUUGCCAUCAUUUUGUUUUUUUUUUAAAUUUUAAACAAAUUAAAAAAAUAAAUUGAUUACACUAAAGAACUUUCCAAAUAUAUGUUUAUCAAAUAGUAAUUUCCCAAUGUUACUUCUCAAGUCAUUUUAAAUUGCAAAUUACUAAACAGUCUUUGCAUUUCACAGAACUCCUUUAGGCUAAGGGCCUUUACAUUAGCCAAAGGCGUUCCCCAAAAGUCAAAGCAAACACACCCAUAAAUGGGUACUUGAAAUUGAGCUUUAUGCAGACCUUUUUGCUUGAUUGUUGUUGCCCUGCUAUGUGACCUGCUGUUUUGUGUAAAUCAGCGAUAUAGUCGUCAUCAUCAUGGCUGAAGCGCUCUUGGAGAUCCGGCCUCAUGAAGUCAAGUUUAUCUGUGAGUGUAUAUAGUGCUGUGCGUUUGGUUCAUUUUUAUUUUGGAGCUACAUUCAAUUUGUGUUGCUUGCCUCCUGUUUUACUAGGCAAUAAGUGAAGGGGAUGAUAUUUCUUUGUUCUACAAUAAUUUGCUUGAGAAUUUGUGGUUCAACAUCAUAAAUAAUGGUAAAAGAAAUAUCUUAAAUAAGAGCUUCAAUGGCGAGUAUGAAUUGGUUAUUGGUCGCCCUGCUUUUCAAAUUCUUUUCCUAGUGUUGAAUUCUAAUUUUUGGUUAGGUUCUUUCUUUUUGCAUAGUUUCUAUUCUCGCACCACAAACUCUUAGAAUACCUUGUGAGGUGAAUUUCUUUCUGGAGAUAAAGUAAGUAAGUGAGUGUUGUAACCAAAUGACUGAGAAUGAUCGGUACAGAAAACCAACACGGAAAAUGAGAUUUCGUUGCUGCAUUAUGUCUUCAAAGAAAAUGUAUGAUGGUCCAUUUCAUCACAUCCUACUCUCAUGUUGUGCCCCGUUAAGUUCUUUUAUCUGAAGCCUCUUCUCCAUGUUUAUGCAGUUGAGCUGAGUAAACAAAGCUCAUGCUUGAUUCCGCAACAAGACUGAUCGGUAUGUUGCUUUCAAGGUGAGGAUUUUUUGCACCUUUUCAUUCACCAUGAUCGUGCUUUACUUUUUUUAAGGUGCGGUGGGCUAACAAUUUUCUUUCAAUCCUGUAUUCUCCUGAUGUAAUUUAAAUUUCAGAGUAGGACAUCAAUGCAUUAAAAGCUCUCUACUAUGGAGAAACAUUAUGAGCUUUAUACUGGAUAUCCAAAACAUUCCAGGUUAAGUCUACAUCUUUGAAGAAAUACUGUGUGCGGCCAAAUGUAGGCAUCAUCAACCCAAAUGGAGCAUCUGAUUCAAAAUUGUGCUGCUCAAGUCUGAGGAUCAUCAUGUUCACAUACUUAUUAAAGCCACUAACAUACUUGUGAGGAGGGACAUGCCUGCAGUACCUAAAUCAGCUAAAUAAUUAUUCUGCAAUUUUUUUGCCGUGACAUGUCAAUUGGACUGUAUUAUUGUUGGGUUACGAACUGCUUAAGGUAGAGUCAGUCUAAUUGUAGCAAGGAUCAUUUUUUAAUAAGAUUUUGAAUGCCUACCAUAGUAGCCUAAUAUACAUCGAGAUAAAUUAGUUUUUUGUGGGGAGAAUUACCCAAAAAGUCUUAAACCUAUUGUAAAUGUGUCAAUUCAGUCCUAAAUCUUUUUUCUGUCCAAUUUAGUUCUAAACCUUUUAUAAUUGCUUCCGUUGCUAAGGGUAUUGCUGCCCUAUCUAUCCCGUCUAACAUCGCUGCAGUUAUCGGUACUUGGGAUGAUCCACUCCCCACCCUUAACAACCAUGAUGACCGUCUGGUGUGGAUUGGCCACUCUUCAGGUCAGUUUUCUACUGCUUCUGCAUGGAGUAUGCUUCGAGCUAGAGGCUCCUUGGUUAAUUGGUCUCGAUUUAUUUGGAGUUCCACUCUUCCCCCACGCUAUCAGACCCAUCUAUGGCUCAUCACCCGGAAUAGAUUGCCAACCCAGGUCUUGCUUCUGUCGUAUGGGAGGAUCUCGGAUGGUUCCUGUGCCUUCUACUCAAGUAGGCCAGACUCAAUCGACCACUUAUACUUUGGUUGCUCAGUCACGGGUAGGAUGGUUUCGUUUUGGGCUCUAAAUUGUCACUUGAAUUGGCGAAAUGGUCCUUGGAAGGACAAUCUUCAGUGGGUGGUCAGCCACCUCUCGGACUCGUCUUUCCAUCACUCCAUUUCUCGCUUUGCAUUCGCUGCUAUGUGCUACCUUAUAUGGAAGGAGCGAAAUAAUAUAAUCUUUCGGAAUCAUACAUUAUUCCUGCCCGCCCUCAAAGAAAAUCUUCGGAAAGCUGUCAAAGAUAGAGUCUCCACUUUUUCAAGAAUCCCGGACAAUCCGUGUAAUCGAAGGAUCCAAAUGGCCUAGGGAAUCCAUCCUGCAAUCUUUGAAUAACUCUGUUAUUAAUCUCUGGCCCGUUACAUCAUUAUGCUCCUCUUUCGGUUGCCUUGGUGCCUCGGCUGCUUUUGGGUUCCCCCCCCCCCCCCCCCCCCCUGUUUAUCGUCUUGGCAGGUUGUGGCUCCCGGGCUCUUGGCUCUUGCCUGUUCCUUUCUCUUGGUCGUAUGUUUGGCCUUUUGUUGCUGGUGCUUCUUUUCUGCUUUGCAGCCCAUCCGCCUCCCGUCCACUCAGUUUGACGCUUGUGUCAGCUUGAGUGUAUGCUUGGAGGCGGUUGGUUGUUGUGCCUUUGUGUAACUCUUUGGUUCUAUAGCUAUAAUAUUCUUACCUCUUACCAAAAAAAAAAAAAACCUUUUAUAAUUGUGUCAAUUCAGUCCAUCCAGCCAAAAUUGACCGGCCUGCAUUGACGUGGAUGCCGGCGGGGGACAGCCGGCCAGCGAGGCCCCACCAGAUCUGGUGAGGUCAACCUCGCCGGCCAUUGGCGAGGGCGAGGCCUUGCUAGAUCCAGCAAGCUCGGCCCUUGCCAAGGCUGGGCGAGGCUGAGCCUCGCCAAAUCUAGCAGGGCCUCGCCUAGCCAUGGUGAGGGUCGACCUCACCAAUGGUCGGCGAGGCUGCCGUCACAGUGGAAAGAGCUUGGAGCUGCCCGUACGAGACAUUCUCCAAGCAAAUGCCGCCGCCUUGCACCUGAUCCCUGCCCUCCCCGACCGAAUUCACCCUCUCGAGGGCCACAAUGCCGAGCACCGAGGAGUGAGGGCAGUUCACGGCGCUCUUGAUGAUGGGAGGGAAGUUGCGGAUAAGGCAGCCUUGUCGCGGCUAUUGGCGAGGUCGACCCUCGCCUUGGCUGGGCGAGGCCCGGCCGGAUCUGGCGAGGGUCGAGCUCGUCGGAUCUAGUGGGGCCUCGCCCUCGUAGGCCCUCGCCUCCUACCGGCGGAGGUAAGCCUCAUUGGCCCUCGCCUCCUAUCAGCGGGGGUGAGCCUCAUUGGCCCUCGCCUCCUAUCAGCGGGGGUGAGCCUCACUGGCCCUCGCCUCUAGCUGGCGUCGUCCGACCAGAGGAAAGGGAAGAUGGGAAAAAAUAAAAAAAAAAUAAAAGAAUUUUAAAAUUUUAAAAUUCAAAAAAGAUAUAUAUAUAUAUAUAUAUAUAUAUAUAUAUAUAUAUAUAUAUAAAUUGCCUCACCGGUCGGCUGUCCUCCACCGACGUCCACGUCAGCGCCGACCGGCCAACUUUGGCCCGAUGGACUAAAUUGGACCAAAAACAGGUUUAGGACUAAAUUAAUAUAAUUGUAAUAGGUUUAAGACUUUUUUGGCAAUUCUCCCAUUUUUUGUGUUAGAAAACUCUCGAAAUAAUUUUUUUUUUUUAUACCUAGGAACCGUACAGACGGCAGGUAAAUCCUGGGGCGACGCUAGUAAAGGACCCAUCACCCCGACAUUCGCGCUUAAGAUCCUAUGCGUCUUGCGGGAUUCAAACUCCUGUGUCCUGGAUAGACGUCAUGGGAGCUCUUAUCUAGUUAGGCCACCGCAGUGGUUCAAAAUAGUAUAUUUGUAUUAUAUUUACCUCCAAAUUAAUUUUCGUGUGACUAGCCAAACGUAACUCAUGAGAUUAUCUCUUCGGCCCCGUCCCCGAACCAUGGGAAGAAAAAUACAGGAAUUUUGGAGAAAAAGAAUUACAGACUCCGAGAAGUUAUCAAAUGCGCCGUCGUUGUGGUGGUAGUCGGAGAUUAUCUCUUCGGAUAGGGCUGCCGGCGGGAGGAGAAGAGGCCGACGGGCGGCGGUGUGAGGCGGCGGAGCUCGGAGGCCUUCUCGAAGAGGCCCUUUGCGCCUCUUCGAGUACGCCCCGAUUCCCUCGGCCGAAGAGAUAAGCUCCGACUACUUCCGCGGCGGCGGCGGCGGCGGCGGCGGCGACGGCGACGUGGUGCCGCCGAUGGGUGUGACUGGAUUGAGGCUGAGUGGGAUUCUUGCGCAACGAAGGAGGACGUGGAGUCCCGGAUCGGCGAAGUAUGACGCCGUUCGUGAUUUCGUACGCAAAGAAAUUGGAAAGAUAUGGGAAGAAUUCGUCUUGCGAUGAUCGGUGCUGGUGGCGAUUCCGGAGCUGGGUUCGGUUGUAAUUGUGAAAUUUUGGCCGAUAGAGAGAUGGGUUCCGUUGUUGUGAGCUUUACAGUUUCUUGACUUUGCCGGAGAACUCGGCCAUCGGCGGUGGAAGCUCGGGAGAGGAGUCUGACGCUCUGUGAUCUUGAGGGCUAUGGAUAUGAUCCUGACCACUUUCUUACACUUGAAGAUUUGGAUGUUAUUCUGUGAUGUAAACUUGAAAUGCAUGUGAUUUUUCUUGUUAAACUUGAUGGUACAGAAUACAUGGGGUGGGUUGUGUUCAAAUUCGUCCCCUUUUGGAUGAGAAAAGCAUCAUUUAGUCAGUUGCUUCGUUGGUGAAGUUGGGGAUAGGAGGGAGAUUCAUGAUUUGUUGCUAGCUUGUGAAAGAGACGAGCUUUGAUUUAGACUGUCUUAUUAUGGCAAUGAAUUGACUGUCUCGGAUGAUGAAUGGCAAUGCCAGUGAAUGCAAAGCUUUCCACUGUCUGUGGAGUAUUAUUGCUUAUGAGAUCGGAUAGUUUAUGCGACUAAUCAUCUGUUCAUUGAUGAUUUCUUGUGGGAGAAACUUAGAAAAUGGUUUUGGAGAUAGUGGUUCAGAAGAGAGACGAGGAGCUUGUCAGUACUCUAAGGGGCUUCGAUGUGGAUGUCAGCAUGGUCCUUGAGGAUGUUACUGAGUAGUAUGUAUCUCUCUCUCUCUCCCCCUCUCAAAUUUACUUGUGCUUCAAGACGCUUCUUGCAUUACUUUGGGGUGAAGGGAAGCCAUUCCAUGUUCUUGACGUCAAUUUAUUAUCUGAAGGGGCAAAUGACCUUGAUUUGUAUGUAUUAGCAUUGGAAGUUAUCAUACCCGUGGUUUUUGAGGCCUCUCUGUCCUCAUUUUGAUCUAUGCUUCUAACUGAGAAUCGGUACUCGCACAAGCAUCUGCAAUUUGGCCUUGCUCAACAUCCAACGCCCCCCUUUUUUCCUGUCACUCCUCUUCUUAUUGACCUUCUUAAUAUAAACUGUGGGAGCUUCAUGCGAUCUUAAGAUUCUGUUUUCAUUCUUGCAUACAGUGAAAUCACUGCUGAAGCAUGAAGGGUAACAAAACUUGAUCAGAUUUUGCUUAACGGAAACAACAUAGCUAUUGUAAGAAACAACUUCUUCCUUCUGCUGGUAAUUAUAUGGCUCUAUGUUUUGAGCCCUUGCUUUGAUAAGGGCAUGGUCUUGCCUAAAGUUUUGGUAAUCUAUCAACUAGUAAGCAAUUGCCUUAACCAAACAGAAACAAUCCGCCGCUCAGCUGCUCAGAGAGAUUCCUUCUGAUAAGACUCAAAAUGCUUAGACAAUGUAUUGAUGAAUCAUUACUGGUCUUGAUUUUGUGGUAAAAAGGUCAUCAUCACCUAUUCUUCACAAUCUGGUCCUUUGUCUCAAUCAACCUUGUGUCCACCUCUUGAUAAAUAUAAAGCACAAGUGGUGUGGCAAUUAAGUUACUGAAAAGCUAGAAUUCUGCUUUCAAGUGCUUGAAGCACUUAAGUGAUGAUGCCUUCCUUUUUGUCUUAAUGCAGUUAGUCCCUGGUGUCUCCCCUGAUCCGGAAUGAGUUGGGUUCAUCCUCUAACUCCAGUGGCUGAUUAUGUAGUUACUUUUAGUUGUUGGAAGCCCCAUCAGCAACAUCAUUUGAUUUUAUAACCUCUUUUUAUGGGUUUAUGAAUCUGCACCUUAGUCAAUUGAGCUCUUAUUUGAUUGAGCCCAUGCGUGAAUGUCUGAUGCAAAUAGCUCAACAGAUGGUGCAUGAUCACAUCAUCCUAUUAUCCAAUAUCUAUGUUUUGCUCUACUAGAGGGUGUGACAAUGGUUGUCAUGCUUGGUGCAAAUUGUUCCUAGGUUUCAUCUUCCAGUGCAUUGUUAUUGAAGAACCUGUCUUGGCUUGUUUUAGAGUUCUACAGUUUUUGGCCGUUGACUGCACAAUGAUAUCUGUAUUUGCGCGCCGCAACCAUGCUAUCUUCUUGGUGGCCUGCUAUUUGACUACCCUCUCUGUUUUAUAGUACAUUCUCAACCUAAAUGCAGAAGGGUGUGUUCCCAAUAUCCACUUUGGAAAAGAUCAAAGAAUUCCACUUAUGUGCUUGUUGCUCUUUGCUUGAAAAAAUUCUACUUUAUUAUGCAGUAUGGUUCUGGUACCGAGACAUCAGGCCGAAGAUGUGCACUGUACUGCAUACAGCUAGAUGAAUAAUGGACGUAUUUUGCUCCAAGAGAUUUCAAUAUUCCACCCAAGUAGCUGUAGUUGCUGCACAUUGUGAAAAGAUCCACGCCCAAAGCGAACUCACUUGUUUUGACCAUGACUGGUUUUUUGUCGUUCAUGUUUUCAAGGCGGUUGGCUAUUUGGGUGGAGUGUUUUUUCCUGUUUUUGCGGUAGUGACAUUCAUCAGAGUUUUCUAGAGGAUUUCAGACUGCUGAAAGAGUGAGCUCAGAGCUCGUGAGGUGUGAUAUUGCUUGCAGACUUUGGUUAGAGCGACAAGAUCUAUAUAGGCUGGAAAUAAAGGUGCUGAAGAUUCACCAUAGGCCUCUUCUUUAUCGCUUGUUUUCAUGUAUAUUCACAACUGCAAACGAGCUUGACUUGAGGCAUGUAAAAUGAAGGGUAUAUGCUGAGAACUUUGUCUAGGCAUAGGUGCAUUUUUCUUAUUUGAAGCUUUAUUGGCCAUCGAAGCUCAUCAUCAUGAACAAGUUUGCAGUUUCAUUCCGAUUUUGAUUAGUUCAAACACAUGGUACGAGGUUCUUAUAAAAAUGCUAUGUGUCAGAAUUCCCGAAGUUGGAUCCAAAGUUAAAUAUAUAACAUGAUGUUUUUGUUCUGAGAUACUAAUAAUAAAAGACAGCUUGUUUUGAGUAUGUUGAUAUUUUCCUGUGACUGGUACGGUUCUUUUUCAUUCUUUCACCCAUUUCACCGUAACACAUGGUGCUACAACAAUUGUACCCUUAAAAAACAACGUAGGUUGGGUUGGGAAAGCAGUUAUAUUUCAGUAAUUGGAAGAUUAAUGUGUGACUAGUCAAACAGGGGAUUGUGAUUUUCCCUAGAUAUGAUGGAUACUCCUGAGGUGGUCAUAUAGUUAAUUUCAUUGUGGAGACCAAAUGGAAGAGGAAUUGAAUAUGCAAGGGAUGAGUGGGAGAAGAAUUAACCAAUUCAAUCAGGAGUGACUUCAGGCUAUAUGAUGUUUCCUUGAUUAGUUUCUUAUUCACAGAGUUAGUCUACACAAAAAGGCAGUUUGAUUUGUCUUCAAGCUAUUAUUCUAGUUGCAAUUUGAUUUAGCAAAUAAAAUGCAUACAUUGCAAUCAAUCCUACAUAAUUUAUUAUGACACAUCCUCCUGAAUCAAUGCCUCUGCUUGCUAAUUUGCAUUGCCAUUCUCCUAAAAAUCAUGAUAGGUCUGCUAGGGAAGGAGAUCAUCGCUUCUCACAAAUUUUUCAGUCCUUUAAUUCUUCUUGGAAUUGCAUUCCUUAUGAAAUGGAAAUCCUAGAUUCAAUGUUAAGACAAAGUUUCAUCCAAAAUUGGAUCGUGAUGUUCCAAAUGAAUCACGUUAGGUUAGUGAUGCUUGCUGAACAAUGUGUAAAAAUCACAAUGAUUAAAAAUGAAAAUUACUAGAUUUCAAUCUGGAGUAGUGAUUGAGAAAUCAAACUCUAACUCUCAACCUCUAUUCUGACCUUCUCAAUUAAAGUAUGGCUAGUAUGAAUGUCGAGACCUGAUUUUGUCGUUUUACUUCUCUUUUGGACAAAUUUAGAGAAUCACUUUAUGAUUAUGCAUUUAAAAGUGGUGUUGCGAGUAAGGUAUCGCAUUCACUUUAAAUUAAUUUUUUGUGUUGCAAAACUCCCAAAACAAUAUAUCCGUAUUACCUAUAUAUCCUCAAAUUAAUUUUGGUUUAACUAGCCUAACGGGAUUCACGAGAUUCUCUUCGGCUGUCCCCGAACCACGGGAAGAAAAAGACUGGAUUUUGGAGAAAGAGAAGAGGUUUUUAGAGCGAGACACACUUGCCAACCUACUUCAGACCCAAAAAAGAAAAAGCACACUUGCCGAUCUAAGUAAGUUAAAAGAGGACCAAAAUAUUAGGAAAUUCCGAAAAGUUUUCAGAUGCGCCGGCGCCGUGGAGGUAGUCGGAGAUUAUCUCUUCGGAUAGGGCCCGUCGGCGGCCGACAAGACGCCGACGGGACGACGGUGUGAGGUGGCGGAUUUCGGCGGCCUUCUUGAAGAGGCGCAAAGGACCUCUUCGGGUAGGCCACGAUUCCCUCGGCCGAAGAGAUAAUCUCUGACUACUUCCGCGGCCGCGGCGACGGCGACGGCGACGGCGACGUGGUGCCGCCGAUGGGUGUGACUGGAUUGAGGCUGAGUGGAAUUCUUGGGCGACGGAGGAGGACGUGGAGUCCCGGAUCGGCGAAGUAUGACGCCAUUCGUGAUUUUGUACGCAAAGAAAUUGGAAAGAUCUGGGAAGAAUUCGUCUGCGAUGAUCGGUGCUGGUGGCGAUUCCGGAGCUGGGUUCGGUUGUAAUUCUGAAAUUUUGGCCGAUCAAGAGAUGGGUUCCGUUUUUUAGAGCUUCAAAGCUCGUUGCCAGGCUCUCUUCGUGGACUUGAGUUGGAGAUGGCGACGGCUUCUUGACUUUGCCGGAUAACUCGGCCAUUGGCGGUGGAAGCUCGGGAGAGGAGUCGACGCUCUGCGAUGAGGGCUACGCAUAUAAUCCCGACCACUUUCUUACACUCGAAGAUUUGGAUGUUCUUCUGUGAGGUAGAUGUGAAAUGCAUGUGAUUGUUCUUAUUAAACUGCACCGUACAGAAUACAUGGGGUGGGUCGUGUUCAAAUGCGUCUCUUUUCGUAUGAGAAAAGCAUCAUUUAGUCAGUUGUUUCGUGGGUGAAGUUGGAGAUAGAGGGGAUUCAUGAUUUCAGUGGUAUUUCUCUUUUGCUAGAUUGUGAGAGAGACUAGCUUUGAUUUAGACUGUCUUAGUAUGGGGAUGAGUUGACUGUCGGGGGAGAUGAAUGGUGGUGCCAGUGAAUGUGAAGCUUUCCACCGUCUGUGGUGUACUAUUGCUCUUUAGAUCGGAUAGUUUAUGCAACUAAUUAUCUGUUCAUUGAUGACUUCUGUGGGGGAAACUCAGGAAAUAGUUUUAGAGAUUUGGUUUUUAAACUGAACUUACAACUGUGAUGUACGUCUUGAGGGAACAUCGGGCAGUUUGUUCUGUGUGUGCUUCAUAGCUUUCGGGCAGUAGGAAAAAGGUAAAAUUUCUGAAGGAACACAAUUAAAAGCAGUGAUUUGGAAGUCCUGUUAUAUGCAGUUCCUUUCUUAUCCUUCUCAAUGGACUUUGGUAUAGACAAAUAAUUGGGAGAAUAUUGUUUGCUUGCUUGCCUUUAUCAUAAUUAUCUUUACUCCUGUAAGCAUCUUAAUGACGAAGAUCAUCAUAUAUUUUACCAUGCCAUUGGUUGCUCAUUACGCUAUUAAGGGGUCUGUCUUUCAAGGGAUCAACCCAGUUCCAUCAUCGAAGGCAUUGUAUUGGAAGCCCAAUUGUGGUGCUUGUAUCUUGCGGAUGUAUUGGAGUCAGAGAAGCGGGCUUGGGAGAAUCUGCUAGAAACUCAGGCUAUCAGAGAAGCUGUAAAUCCUUGGAGAAAUCAUGAUGCGGAAGCAAAAAAGAAUUCAUUGUGCCACCAUUGUUGAGUUUGUACCUGGUAUGAUUUCUUCUCGAACGCUCUCAUUCAACAAGGAGAGAACUUUCUUUAAGCCAUGUUCUUGAUGGAGAAGUAUGAUAACAUUCAGAACAAAUAGGUCUAGGUGGUGGAGCUAUUUUGCUCAACUCCUUUUAGUUAAUGUGCAAUCCAUUUAUUUUAUGAGACAUUUUGGCAAUAGGUCUUAAUGCCUCUGGCUAUUAGACUUGUGCAUUAUAAUUGAUGGGAUGAUCGCACAUUAGUUUAUUGGAUCCUGAGAAUCGUGAUCAUAUUUCCAUGCGGAUUACUGCUCAAACAGGUUCGCUUCCAUACAAACUUCUUGUGUUGACAUUUGAUCUUCAGUUAGUAUAUUCAAUGUUCAUAAUUGAUAAUGCGUCAUGUAUCUGGUCAUCUUGUUGGUUUGACAAUAUAUCAGAUUUUGGCUUGAUUGAGAUUAUGUCUUCAUGUAGGUUUUAAAGUACCACCUAAAAUUAGAAAAAAAGAAAAGGAAAAAAAGAGAGACUAAAGUCCACUGAUCAAGAAAGUGAAAAGGAAAGAAACAGAGAGAGCCAAUGCCAUUAAACCAGUGAACUGGAAAAAGAGAUAUUGAAUUCUGUACAAUGCAGUUUAACAAAAAAAAAAAAAAAAACCACUUAUGUUCACAUUUGCAUCACAGAAUGACAUCCAGAUCUUCCAGUGUAAGAAAGUGGUCGGAAUUAUAUUGAUAGCCCUCGAGGUUGCUGUGCAUCGGCUCCUCUUCCGAGCUUCCUACAUGGAUGGCUGAGUUUUCCCGCAAAGUCAAGAAGCUGUCACGGUUACCGUCACCGAAAGAUUCCUCCAAGAGACUACGAAUCUCAGCAGGAUCAAAUCCACACCCCUCAAGGUCACAGUGCAUCGGCUCCUCUCCCAAGGAUCCUCAGCCGAUGCCUGGGUUCUUCGGAAAAGUGAAGAAACUGUCAAGGUCACCAUCGCCGAUGCAGUCCUUAAACGGACUAAGAAAUUCGUCAGGAUUAAAUCCACACCCCUCAAGGUCACAAAGCAUCGGCUCCUCUCCCAAGCUUCCACCCCCCAUGGCCGAGUUCUCCGGUAUAGUCGAGAAACUGUUGUGGUGGCCGUCACCGACGCAGUCCCCGGACACACUAAGGAAGUUGUCCGGAUUACAUCCGCACCCCUCAAGAUGGGAGCAGGUGGGGGUGGAGUCCACUCGCAAACCUCCACUGCCGGCGGCCGACUUCUCCGGCGAAGUCACGAAAGGGUCGCCGUCGCCCAGAUUUUCAGAAUCACAACCGAACCCGUCUCCAGAAUCGCCACCAGAACCUUUCAGAAUCACAACCGAACCCGUCUCCAGAAUCGCCACCAGAACCGAUCACGACGGACGAACCCUUCUCCAGAUCUUCCAACUUCUCGCCCACAAGAUCACGAACGGCAUCGUACUUCGCGAUCAGGGACUCCACGUCCUCCUCCGUCGCGCAAGAAUCCCAUUCCUUCUCAAUCCACUCCGCCCACUCGGUCAAACCCAUCGGCGGCACCGCGUCGACGUGGUUGGCAAUUACGUUGUCUUCCACGGAGGGGUCGCUGAAGAACGAACAGGGCUUGCCGGCGGGGGAGAAGACGAUGACAGCGGCACGAGCGCCGCAGAGGCAGCAGAGCUCGGAGGCCUUCUUGAAGAGGCCCUUGCGCCUCUUCGAGUAAGUCACGAGCCGCGCGGCCGGGUCGGCGAUCUUGGCGAUCUCCGUUCGCCGGCGCUUACCCAUUUCCGAUGGAUUUCGCGAGAUUUCUUCGACGAUUUGCAGGAUUCUUGGGUUUCCAGGAGAGAGCUUUCGUGGGUUUUUCUGGGUUUCUUGUAGAGAGAGAGAGAGAGAGAGAGAGAGAGAGAUGAAGUUUGAAGUUGCAGAGGAGGCGGGCGGGGGAAAGGAGCCGAACGGGAAGAUCUACUUAUAUAGCCAUCGUGGGGCCCUUUUGAGAACUUUCUGAAUUCUGAUUUUCGGUCCUCUAAAUUUCUGUAGAUUUUCAAAUUGGCCUCGAGAACAGUUUACUUGUGUCGAUUAAGUACUCUUAAGUUUUCAUAAUUUGUGUAAUUGGUGGUUUGUCCAGUGGAUUGCUUUUACCAUUAACACGGUGUGAUAAAUAAUUGAAUUAGAUAAGUGAAGAUGUCGCUUUAGAUUAUAAAUUUUAAUUUUUAAAAUAGAUAAGUAAAGACGUCGCUUUAAGUUAUGAAAUUUAAUUUAACAUGAGAUGAGGAAAAAAAAAACAUUUUUGUCUGUUUGAUAACAUUUAUUCUAUGAUUUUUUAUUUUUUUUUACUCUCUUCAAAUACGUGGAAAUAGCUUGCAACUAGUCAAAGCCAUGAACAUUUCAGAACAGUUGAGUUGAGAGACUCGACCACUUGUAUGCAAGUAUAAGGACAAAAUAAGGGCAUUCUCAAAUAUCCAAAUCGUACAUUACUUUAGAGAGGCCAACCUUAUUGCGGACUGGAUAGCCAAAGCUCAUAAAAAAAAUUACUUAUCUCUAAAUUGAGUUUUGUCCCCUCCUCGAACUAUGUUGGAGCUUUUAUGUAAUGAUGCCCAUUUAACGGGGCUCUCAUCUUUGCUUAGUAAAUGAAAUAUUUCUAUUUCCAACCAAAAAAAAAAAAAAACUUGGAAACAGAAAAAUCUUUGGAUAAAACAUAUGAAGAAGCUAUAUUGCUGCAAGAUUUGAUUAAAGGAAUAAUUUUUUUUAAGAUAAAGGACACUUUAAUUGAAAAUAUCAUGCCCGAUUAAAAUAUUUGCUCAAAUGUAUAAACUAUAACAAUGGGUAAUACUAUAUUUUUCCUCGUCAUGGAUCACGGUGCUAUAUUAGACAUCAUCAUGUAGUAAACAAAAUGGACAAAGCCACCUAAAUCUCUAAAUAACAUGCAAAAUUAAAUUCAUAUUUAAAACAUAAAAAGAAAUAACGGUCUCAUCUAAUUAUAAUUAAAAAGAAUUACACUAUACACUCCCAUUACAAUCCAAAAAUAGUUUAAGUGCUAUAUUUUCCCCUAACAAGUUAUAAAUUGUGGACAUCACUCACAAGCAAAGUAAACAGAAUAUUAAUGUAGGUUAUGUCUAUGGUUGUAACCCAUCAAUCAACUUACAUAUUUCACUAGCAUUUAACUUUUUGCACAAGGAUGGUAGUAAGACCAAUUAUAAAAUCUGGAUUCAAUUCUAUGUUUUAGACCUAGUAGGAUUUUGGCACAAAUAUGGAUAGUGUAAAUUUUAGAUAUAUCCAUGAACUCAAUAAAUCUCAAUUGCUAGAUUUUCGAACCUCACAUGAAAUCCGUGAUAUCAAGGCGAUCGCAAACUCCACUUGACACACUCUCUUGCGAUCAAGCUUUUGAUUUUCACAAAGAAGGGCAAUAGACGUUUACACGUUAAAGUUCUAAAAUAGAUUUUUUUUUUUGUCUAUUUUACUAUAUUUUUACUUUAACAUUCAGUCUUAAAUUUUUAUCCUAUAUUUUUGCAAGGUUUGAGAGUCGAAAUCCACACUUAAAAUCAAAUCGUCCCCACCCUCAAUCGCCUCUAAGAAAGUAAGAAUUCAAACCCCCAUCUUCCUAUGGUUCUAAGACAAAUGUUUUUUUUUUCUUUUUUUGGUCAGAAUUCUAAGAUAAAUGUUUGACCGGGUGAGUUUUUGGCAAAAUUUCGGUCCAUCAACGAAGACGAUGGGCUUGCAGGAGAAAAACAGGCACAAUUACCGUACAGGUUCAAUCCGCAGCACGACCCAAUAUAAAAACCUCAUAAAUUUUCGGAACGCGAUGGACUUUCGAACCCGAACCGACAUCCACGUCAGGUCACAGUGCCUAAGGGACGCGUACACGUGGCGCGUUUGGCAAGGAUUAGCUUCGUUGCAGGAGAGCAGGGGUGAAACACGAACGAACACCCUUUAUUUUUUUCUUCGGCGGUGUUGAUGCGACAUGAUGAGAUGAGAUGAGAAUAGAAUGAGGGGUGGCCUUUUAUCAUCAUCCGUGACGACCAAGACCUUUGAUCAUGCAAGCGGCUCAAGCUCAUCCUCUGCCUACAUCGCCUGCUGAGAUUCCUUCUCAGGUCCUCUUUCUCUCUCCCUCUCUCUCCCUCUCUCCUCCUGCUGCUGCUACUGCUUUACUCGUUGGAUUGAUCAUGCAAGCGGCUCAAGCUCAUCCUCCGCCUUCUGCAACGUCUGUUGAGAUUCCUUCUCAGGUCCUCUCUCUCUCUCUCUCUCUCUCUCUCUUUCGGUGGGCGUUGCGAGUUCUUGCUUUUUGUGUACGCAAGUCUCGUUGUUUGUGGGUUCGCGGGUGAGAUCGAGUUUCGUGCUUGAGAUGGGUCGGAUUCUGCCGGCGUCGGAAGAGACGGGUCGUCGGCGUUUAGGCGUUUGGUUUCCGUUUUCCGGUUGUUGCUCUGGUGUUAGCUGGUUCCGUGCAAUCUGAGCUCUUUGAGCUCGAGAGGUCGUGCCCCCUCCUCCGUCUUCCGCUUCCGGUGCUCUCGCCCCCCGGGAGAAUUUUGCUUAAGCUGUGGUUUGAGAUCUUGGUUAGGCUUGAGUGAGAAAAGUAGGGAGAGCUGUCGAAAAAGAAAGAAAGAAAAUAGAGGAACCCCGAUGCGGGAUGACACGAGUGCGAUUAAAUUUGAGUCGAACGCGACUUAGUGCAUUGCGACGUGCUUUCUGGAAUUCGAGCUACUUUAGUUUGGAACUGAUGAUUGACGCGGCGACGGUGACAGGAUAUGACUUGCGGCCCAUUCGGAGGCUUUGAGAAGUUUGCAGAUUGUGGGAAGAUUAGCAGGAACUAUGAUUAUUUUAGAAAUUAUACAACCGCCUCCAAAAGAUGAGAGCUUUACCUCGUGCAUUGUCAACUUUGACAAGCUGGAGCGAUGCUGCAAUGAAUCAUUCUUAUUACAUAAUUGUAGCACACUGGCUCACGACUCUAUGUAUAUUUAGCUAACUUAGGGUACCAAGUUUAAUGACCUAUAGAGAUUUCCAUUUGUGAGUCAGGCUUCUAAACAUUUUCCAUCUCUGGCUGCCAUUGCUUUUGCUGAUAUGCUGUUUGGUAUUUCUUGAAGAUCAUGUCCAAGGAAAUCGUGCAGAAAAACAAUGUACCUGUAAAAAUUGUUGGAAUAGUAGGGAGCACUUCUUUUACUCACACUAUGACAGAAGGUCAAGGAAUGGCUAUUUCAUCAGGAUAUGAAUAUGAAGUAUUCUUGAGCUUCAGAGGAGAAGAUACUCGAACAAGUUUUACCGAUUUCCUUUACACUAGUAUGAUAGAUGCGGGAAUCCGCGUCUAUAAGGAUGACGAAGAGCUCUGCAAGGGUGAAAACUUUGGCUCGGAACUUCUCCAGCAAUUAAUCAAUCGAAGAUCUCAAUACCUAUAUUUUCGAAAGGUUAUGCCUCUAGCGUAUGGUGUCUCAAGGAGCUAGUCCAGAUGGUCGAGUGCCAAAAAACUAGGGGACAAAAGAUUAUGCCCAUUUUUUUUAUGAUGUAGCACCUUCAGAGGUUCGACACCAAAUUAAAGGUUAUGGAGAGGCCUUUCUUACACAUGAAAACAAGAAGCGAUAUGACAAAGAGACUAUGCAUAAGUGGAAGGCUGCUCUCACCACGGUUGGAGAGCUAGAUGGAUGGGACUUGCAAAAAAUGGCCAACAGGUAAUUGCCUCUAUCAUUCCAUUUGAUGUGCCUUGUCCCAUUAAAACUUGAUGUGUUUCACUGUUGAAAUUGAAUUUUAUGCUAUUGAAACUUUACCGCAGAAAUCACUUGAAAUAAUGGGACAAUCCCCAUUUUGUCCUUUUUCAUUCCAAACAACCUUUUUUUUUCUUUUUUUUUUUAGUUAAGGUCAUUCGUGAAUCAUAUGUGCCAAUGCUAAUUCAUUUACAAUGAAGUAAAUCCUUGCAGAAAGCAUUUCAAAUGGGUCUCUAGUUUCACUUUGGUCUUGUUAGAAAAUAGCUUGGUUCAACACAAUUUUCUAACUCAUUGCCAUUUGACCUCCAACAAACACUAGGAAAGAAGGUGAGAUAGCAAAAACAGUUACUUGGAAGGUUUUCAAUGAAUUGAAAAAGGCUUAUUUGGUGGUAUCAAACAACUUGGUUGGUGUGGACAGUCAUGUGAAUAAAAUCAUGGAAGAGAUAGGUGCUCAUAUAAAUGAAACGCGAAUCAUAGGAAUUCAUGGGAUGGGUGGCGUUGGAAAGACAACAAUUGCCAAAAUCAUAUACAAUGAGCUUUCCAACAAGUACAACAAUUGUUGCUUCCUUUCCAACAUCCAUGAAACGUCAAAGCUCGGGGGCAUUGAGUACUUGCAGCAACAGCUCAUCUUUGACAUCCUCAAGAUGAAAGGGACGGAUAUAAGAAACAUUGAUGAAGGGAUUAAGACCAUUAAAGAAAGGUUGCCUAAUAAAAAAUUCCUCCUUCUUCUUGAUGAUGUUGAAGAAAAGGAUCAUAUGGAUGCACUUGUCGGUAAGCGUGAUUGGUUUGGCGAAGGGAGCAAACUUAUUGUUACUACAAGAAGGAAAGAUGUUCUCUGUGUUCCGGAAGUGGACUGGAGGUAUGAGCUUACGUGCUUGGAUCCGAAUCUAUCUCUUCAACUUUUUAGCAAACAUGCUUUUAGAAGAGAGUCUCCUGUAGACGACUAUAUCAACCAAUCUAGGAGGGCGAUACGCAUUACCGGAGGUCUUCCAUUAGCCAUUGAGGUCAUAGGUUCACUUUUAUCCGACAAAAAUAAGGAAAAGUGGGAUGGCACAUUGAAGAUGCUAGAAAGUGUUCCUCAUGAUAAAGUUCAGAGUAAGCUGAAAAUAAGGUAUGAUGCAUUAGAUGAUCGGCAGUGGCGUAUAUUCCUUGAUAUAGCUUGUCAUUUCAUUGGAUGUUGCAAAGACAUUGUGGUUUAUUUCUGGGAUGCAUCUAAACUUUUUCUGGAAGCAGUCGUGGAAGUUUUGCUGAACAUGUCUUUAAUAAAGAUUGGAGAAGAUAAGAUAUUGUGGAUGCAUGAUCAACUCAGAGACCUUGGAAGAGAAAUAGUUCGUCAAGAAAGUGAGAUGAAUAUAGAGAAGCAACGUUGGGUGUGGAAUCCUGAGGAUGGAUUAAAUCUGCUAAGGAU
rnacentral:lncRNA from 1 species